UUUUGCUAUACUAUUUCCAUUUCAAUUUGCCAAGUUCUCAUAAUUCAGAUUAUAAAAAGGGAUGCCGUAAUCAUAAUCGAAUUUUAGAAUGCAAAUAAUGGACCUAUAUACAGAAUUUCCUUAUGUUGAUCCAUUCCAACAUGAAAUUCAUAUAUAUCUCCUUGACUAAAUACGAUUAAAACCACNCAUAUAUAUCCUUGACUAAAUGAUUAAAACCUCAGAUCUAAACCUUAUAGAUUUGAUAUGAAGUAUAAUUUCCUCUCCCUUAAUUAUAGCAAAACAACUUUUUCCCAAUUGAAACCUUUUGUUUUCUAUAAUUAACAUUGCUAACUUGCAAUACUUAUCAUAAUUAUCAUGCUCCCACUAACAUGAUGAUUAUUAGCAUAACACUUAUGCUCCCACUAGCUUUGACAUGUACUCAGAAAUCAACUGACUUUCUUACCAAAGUUCAGAUUUCUGAUACUAGAUUGUUUUGAUAAAACUUUAUCAAAAUCAUACACCUUCCCUUAUAUAGCACACUUGUGUGUCUAAACAAUUAUGAAGAGGUAUGCCGUAAUCAUAAUGGUUAGACCUUUUUGCCACUUCUCACAUGUCCAAGUUAGUGAGCCGGUAAACCACACACGCUCCACUAAUGACUUUGAGAAUGCAAAUAUUACAAUUGCUAUCUAGCUAAAAUCUACUUAGUGAAAGUGUUUCCUCACCAUCAUUUUCAUGAAUCGGAUAGAAACCUUAUGACACUUAGAUUGACUGGUGUAUGUGUUCUUAUCCAUGUGAAUUGUCAAAACCAUAGUCACAAGACAAGGGUAAUGACCAAUCCAAACUCAUAUGGACUAAACUCAAUCUUAAUUUCUUUCCAUCUGGCAGCUCAAGAGCCUGCCAUUACUUCCAAGUUGUUAUGCAACCAAUUGAGAACUCUAAGAACUCAUAUGCAAGGCCAACUUUAAUUCGAAUGGGCACAGAAUAUGUCAACACGAUAGGUUAUAAACCUUAAGUUGUGUGCUAGUGAAGAACUUCAGGUUUUAUUCUUGAUUAGUUCUUGAGACUUUCAGCACCUUUAAGACUCUCACUGUCCUCUUGACAUAUAAGACUUUCUUGUCAGAUAUUCAAGAGAUAGUGUGGAUUCUAAUCAAGACAAACACUUCACACAAUUGGCCUAAGUUGAUCUUUGUUUUAUCCAAAACAUCACAACUUACCAAUUUCAAAUGUAAAAGAGAAGAAAAUUGUAACAUCCAAAAAUGCGACCCAAAAAUUUUUGUUUUAUAAUAUUAAAAUCAUGAUACUGAAGAUCAUACUAAUAAACGUAUUUCAUAACUCUCAAAACAUAAUGUAAUGCGUCAUAUCAAACUAUAUCAAACAUGUGAAAAUGUCCUAUCAUACUCCCAGGAAAAACUGCUGAAGCUGUGGUGUGUGCGAUGCUAUCAACCUGAGCUCUUCCCUUUUAUUGCAGAAGUACCUGAAACCAAAACUGAAACUGUAAGCACGAAGCUUAGUGAGCUCCCCCAAACUACCACAUACCAUACAAUACAUAGAAAUCACAUACUGGGCCUCGCCCACUGCAUCGGACCGAAGUCCGGAAGUUGCAUCGGACCGAAGUCCGGAACCGACUGGGACCUCGUUCCCGGCAUCGGACCGAAGUCCGGAACUGGCUGCAUCGGACCGAAGUCUGAAACUGACUGCAUCGGACUGAAGUACGAAACUAACUGCAUCGAACCAAAGUCUGGAACUAACUGAGCAUAGCAUAGCAUAAACACAUAUCAACUAGCAUAUAAACAUACCAACCAUCAUAAACACAUAUAUUGCAUACUGCAUCAGGCCGUAGCCCAGAACACAUAACGCAUAAAACCUGUCUGAGCCACGAAAGCAUCAAACACACUAACUGCUACAUCGGACCGAAGCCCGGAACUACUGCUAACUAAUCGGGCCGACAUUAUGGCCGUAGACCCGUUCCUAUUGGAAGGAAACUCACCUCGUGUACUGGCUGCUAAACGAACGGCUCUAGAAACUGUCUGCUGCCGCUCCGUUGUCUCCCCGGCUACAAUUUCCAAAAUUACACUCAAUUAAUUACUGGUCAAAGUCAACUUCCCGUUGACCGGACUCAUCGAGUCAGGGCGCAGACUCGCUGAUUCCUUCCUUUACUGACUCUAAUUUCUACUCACCGAGUGCCUCUUUCACUCACUGAUUUACUCCGAACACUCGAAUCAAAGAAAGACGAGGACUCGCGACUCGACUCGCCGAGUCCAAAGAAGUACUCACCGAGUUUGACGAACUACUCGCCGAGUCUGACGAACUACUCGUCGAGUUCUAACGUGCAGACUCCAUAUACUGCUUUAGAAUCCGCUCUAUGGUUCCCAAAUCGCAGAUCUGAAUUCUUGGACUCAUCUGAACAUGUAAAGUUGCUAACUUUACGUGUAACUACGAAGGAAUGAAGCCAUUGAUCUUUGACACACUUUAUUUGGGACCACUCAUCCAACUCGCCGAGUUGUUCUUCCAACUCGCCGAGCCAACGACUAUCUUCAUGCAACUCGCCGAGUCGGCCUGGGGACUCGCCGAGUUCUUUCAGUCCUUCUUCCAUACAAAUCCGAUCUGAGCCAUGCAGCUGAUUCCAAUCAUGGAUCUGAACUUCUAGGGCAUGCUUUUCACAUAAAGUUGCUAACUUUAUGUGCAUGCAUGCCUUUAAAAGCUUCAUAUGACCAAAAUAAGCUCUUAAUGGGGUCCUAGGCUCAAUAGCGACUUCAACCACAAUCACAACCAACACUUUAUACUUCUAGCAUGCCAUGAGUGUCCAGAUCUACAGUAUAACCGGCCUUAAGGCCUAAUCAUAGAGAAUUUGGGGUUUUAGAGCUUAGAACCCACAAAUUAGGGACAACAUAGAUCUAUAUGCUCAAAAGCCAAGGUAUAGAAUUGAAUACCAGAAAAGAUGACCAAUAGAGUGUACAAUCCGGAUCUACUUCCUCUUUCUCGGGCUCUCCAACUUCCACCUUCUCCUUCUUACUCCAAAGGUGCCUUUACAAGCAAUGAACACACACACACACACACUAAGAAUGGCUAGGGUUUUGCUAUCAGAUGCUUUGGGGUGAAAAGGGACGAGUUAGGCACAUAAGGAAGUUUAAAUAGGUCCAAAACCCUGAAAUUAGGGUUUCCUCCUGACAGGCAAACUCACCGAGUCCAGCGUAUUGACUCGCCGAGUAGCCGGCUAAAUACGCGUGUUCAUCCCAUCUCUACUCGGCGAGUUGGGCAACGGACUCGCCGAGUUCUCCUCAAAAAUGGAAACACUUAUUUAAAUACAUACCGGGAAUGGGGCGUUACAACUCUCCCCCACUUGUCUCAGACUUCGUCCUCGAAGUCUACUACUGCUAAAUCUUGGAACAACUCUGGAUAGUGCUCCCUCAUCUCUUCCUCUGCCUCCAACGUCCACUCAGACCCCUUCCGGUGCUGCCACUGCACCUUCACCAACUGAACCACCUUGUUUCUUAAGGUCUUUGUUUUCCGGUCCAAAAUCGCAACCGGUCUCUCGAUGUAAUUCAGGCUGCCAUCAACCUGAAUAUCUUCCAAAGGCACCACUGCUGUCUCAUCCACCAAGCACUUCCUCAACUGAGAAACGUGGAAAGUGUUGUGGAUCUGGCUGAGCUCUGCCUGAAGAUCUAACCGAUAAGCAACCCGACCCACCCAGGCCAAAACCCUAAAAAGACCAAUGAAUCUAGGGCCCAGCUUGCCCCUCUUCCGAAAUCUAAUAACACCCUUCCAGGGUGACACCUUCAGGAGGACCAUAUCGCCCACCUGAAACUCCAAGUCUGAACGCCUCCUAUCAGCGUAACUCUUCUGCCGACUAUGCGCAGUCUGUAGUCUACUACGAACCUGCUGAAUCAACUAUGUCGUCUUGCGCACCACUUCGGUGCUCCCAAUGACUCGCUGACCGACCUCGCCCCAACAAAUCGGCGUCCUGCAUCUCCUCCCAUAGAGCAUUUCGAAGGGAGGUCGAUCAAUACUCGCAUGGUAACUGUUGUUAUACGAAAAUUCUCCUAAUGGAAGAUACUUAUCCCAACUGCCACCGAAGUCUAGAACACAUGCCUGCAGCAUGUCUUUGAGAGUCUGAAUCGUUCUCUCGCUCUACCCGUCCGUUAGAGGAUGGAAAGCGGUGCUGAAAUGGAGACGUACCCAUCUCGUCAUGAAACCGCUUCCAGAAUCUGGAGGUAAAACGGACAUCACGGUCUGACACCACUGAAAUAGGCACUCCAUUCCGUGCCACCACCUCUCUCACGUAAAUAUCGGCUAGCUUCUCGGCCGAUAUACUCUCCUGGAUCGGUAUGAAAUGAGCAGUCUUCGUCAAUCGAUCGACUAUAACCCAUAUGGAAUCCACCCCAAGCAUGGUACUGGGAAGCUUAGUGACGAAAUCCAUGGUGAUAUCCUCCUAUUUCCACACUGGAAUGUCUAGCGGCUGCAUCUUGCCGUGAGGCCUCUGGUGCUCUGCCUUGACCUUCCUGCAGGUCAGGCAUCUUUCUACGUACCAGGCGACAUCACGCUUCAUGCAGGCCCACCAGUAGUCAGGUUGAAGAUCUCUAUACAACUUCGUUGCCCCUAGAUGGAUGGAAAACUGAGACUUAUGAGCCUCAUCCAUCAACACUUGCCGUACUCCGCCUCAGUACGACACCCAAACUCUCCGAUGAAGGGUUAACAAUCCUCUAGUAUCAUAGUCAAAAGAAGCUACCCGGUCCAUGAUCCUCUCACACUUCUGCCUCUCCUCCUUGAGGCCCUCCACCUGUGCCUCCUUGAUUUGUGUCACACCCCGCUAAAGCGGAAACACAGGGCGUGGCAGUACAAAGGGUUUCAUAGCAAAAGUUAAAAGACAACACUAACCAUAGUAUUAAAAUCAUUACCAUUUGACAAUGGGUUUAAACAACUUUUAAAUGAAAUUACAAUGUAAAUUGAAAUACGACACAUGCGAAUGCUCCUAAAAUUGAAGUGUCCCUAAGUGCCACAUAUUCGAUGAUUCCUGAAAAAGCAUGUAAAACGAGAGUCAACUAUGAAAAUAGUUGGUGAGUACUCACAAGUUUAACAAAAUAAUAUUGGUUCAUGAGUUGAAAUCAAAGUUUUGAUAAAAGUUUCCAAUAAUAAAAAUAUAUUGCUAAAAGGAGUAAAUAAGUUUGUAAACACAGUUCGUUGUCAUCAUGAGAAAUAAAGUAUGUUGCCCAAAUAAGAUGCAACAUUCAUAUUCUCAUGGAAGAUAAAGUUCGUUACUCAAACGAGUAAACAAGUUUCAUUGCUCAAAUGAGCUGUCAAUUUCGUUGCUACAAGGAGCAAACAAUUUCAUUGCUAAAACAUGUAUAUAAGUUUCCACUAGUAAAAGUUCGUUGUUGUAAUGAGAAAUAGAGUUCAUUGCUAUAAUGAGAAAUAAAGUUCAUUGCUAUAAUGAGAAAUAAAGUUGAUUGCUAUUAAUGAAUACAAGUUUAUUGCUAUAACGAGAAACGAGUUUGUAUGUAUAUGAGCAAACAAUGAGUCUGAACCAAACCUAUGACUGAAGCCUUAUCGACAUCUAUACUUAUCGUUCCAUAGAUGAAUACGAUAUCAUGCACUCCAGCAAUAGGGCAAGUGAGGAAUUGUCAAUUCCUAAUAGCGCUAUCCAUAAUGACCAUUGGCUCAAAGAGUUAAUGGUUAGAGAUAAGGGAAGGGCCUUAGUAUGAUAAGUUCUCAUGUUCCGUGUUGCAUAGACAUACAUAAAGAAACAUAGCAAUACAAUAGCAAUCAUGUUUGAUACAAAUCAAUUUAAAUACAACAUGCAAAUUAUAGUUUUUCUGGACAUGCUUUUCCACCCCAAAACAUAAAAACUGAAAAUAGGGGAGUGCGUGAAUACUCACAAUGUGCAAAAUAUAACAGUCAAGUUUAUACGAGUCAAUUAAAUACAACGAACAUAAAUAGUUUAGGACAUGCUUUUCCACCCCAAAACAUUUAAAAACCGAAAAUAGGGGAAUGGUGAAUACUCACAAUAUGCAUUGAGAUGAUGCAAAUGGUGCCUUGACUAUGCUCCACUCGUAUCACCAUCGAUUCCUAAAAUAAAGGUAUUCGCUAGUGAGUCUCUAAUCGAAAUCUAACACUAGUAUACAUAGUACUACAAUAGAAUUAUGCCAAUAUUGUGUCAAAAUUUAAUAUCGAUAAGUUACAAACAUUUUUCUGUGGAAAUUAAGUUUCAGAGAAUCAAUUGUUAUAUAACAAUUUAUGUGGAAAAUUUCCAUUAUUAAAAUGUUAAUAUUUAACAUUUUAGAGGUGUUCCAAUGAAAUAUUCAAAACUAAAUCAAUUUAAUUCUAAAAUAUCCCAAACUUUUCAUUUCAGUUUUAAUUGAAGUCAAAGACCUUAAGAUAAAUUUUCUUGAAUUUUUGAUUUGUCUAACUAUUUUUCACCAUUUUAGUUUCUUGAAUAACCAUAAAUUCAUGAAAAAUUGCAAUGAGUUAAGAAAAUUCCCCAAACUUUUUAUAUUCUUGUUAUUAAACAUUACUAAGCUGGGAAAAAUAUAAAAAUCGAUUUCGAAGAUGUUUAAUUAUAUUUUAUGAUAUUUGAGCAUUUAUUCCAAUAAAAAUUGAAAUAAAUAGAAAACAGUUUGCAAAAUUACCCAAACUUUUUAUUUAACUGUUAUUAUACAUAAAUAGGCUGGGAAAAAUAUAAAAGAUAUUUUUUCAGGGGUUUUUCUAUUUUUCCUUGUUUUAUUCCUUUAAUUAAUGAUUAAUUGAAGAAAUAAUAUUAAACAGUUAAAAUAAAUUACCAAAAAUUUUUGUUACAUUAUUUAUAGUAUAAAUAACAUGGGAAAAAUAUAAAAAGUGGUUUUCAUAUCGUAUAAUCCGGUUUUGAGUAUUUAUGUGUAUUUAAGUGUAUUUAAGUGUAAUUAACUUUAGAAAAUAAGAGAAAAAUAGUUUACAGUAGGGAAAAAUCCUCAAAAUUUUCAUGAAUUUUAGAUAAUCAGAAAUAUUUUUCCUAUUUUUAGACCAUUAUAAUUACCAAAAAUUGGGAAAAAUAGUAAGGCAUGAUGAAAAAUUUUGAAAUUAUUUUUCUGAGUCAUCCAUCACAGGUAAGGUAUGCGAAAAUUGCUAGAUAAAAUUUUCACACUCUCUAAAGUGGUUUUGUGAUUUAUUAUACCCUAACAAAAAGAAAAUCGGAAAUCAUACCAAACAGCAACACAAAUGGAUGAAAUUUAGUGAGGGGUCAUUAUUCACUAUAAGGGUCAUCCAUGAAUUUAUUCCGGAUUUAUUGACCUCUGGAAGUAUUUUAUGUGAUUUAUACCCUUGGUUUUAGCAAUAAUUUUAAUAAAUCAAAGAAAUAAUAAAAGCUCUUGGUAUUUUACAGAUUAUCACAUGCACAUGAGGGCUUUCAAAAGGAAAAAUAUUCAGAAUUUAUUCAGAAGGGAAAUAGGGGUAAUGAACCCAAACAAGUUAAGAAAUGUUGCAUGCAAUGGUGCAUGAGAUGUAAAUGUGGCUGAAGUUCAUGAAUUUGAGUAGCCAUUCAGUGAGGUUUUAAGCCACGAAAUUUUAGCCAUAAUUCACUGGAUAUGUUAAGUUUCUAAAGUAUUUUUCCCCAGAUUUAUGGUUGGGUUUCAGGCCAUUGACCAUGCAAGGCAAAAAUGGUGAUCAUAGAAAAGAGCUAUUUGCGCAACUAUUUUGUAAAAAUUGCCGAAAAUCGGAUAUUUAAUACUUUAAAGUCAGACCAGUUGGGUUUGAAAGUUAGCUCAAAAUAUUAUAUUUCAGAAAAAGAAUCCCGAAUUUUGGUUAAGAAAUGAGUGAGAUAUGACAGUUUAAAGUCAGGUAAUGAAAUCUGGCAGAUUGCAUGCAUGGUGAUUGGUUAGAAAAAUGAGUUUUCAUCAUUUAUUUGAGUAAAUCUUUUGAAAUAUUUUAAAAGAUAUCAUGAUAAAUUUAUAUUCUAGUUAUGUUUCCAGAGAUCAAAAGAUUAAAACUUAUGAAAAUGUAUACAUUCAUUUAUGAACAAAAAUUUGUUUCUCAAAAACUCUUAACUUGAGUUUGAUGCUUUAAUCCUUAAAAUCGAUUUUUGCACUAAGAUCAUGAACAUGCAACCUUGUUUAUCAUACAUGCAUGGUGUUAAAACACAUCCAUGAUGUUCUAAAAACCAUUUUAACAAAAAUAAAACAAGUUUGAAGAAGAUGAUGAAGUAGAAGUCAGUUUUUGAAGUAAAAUGCACAUGCAUAACUUAAAUCCUUGUUGUGGAUCUUCAAGAGAUGUAUGUUCUUUACCUUAAAUUUAUUUGUGGCUUGAAAAAACCUUAUGAAUCUCCUUAAUUUCGUGGUUAAGAGGCUGUGGUUGUGGUGUUUGGAGAAAAGAAAUUAGAGAUAAGGUAGAGAGAGUUUUCUAGAGAGAGAAAAAAGAGAGAUGUGUGUGUGUUGAAGAGUGAGAGUGAGAGAGAGAUAUAUGGGAAGAGAGGGGUCAGAAAUUUUGAGUAUAAUAACCCUUUCUCAUUCAUUUUGUUUUAUAAAAUUUAAGUUAUUUUAUAAAAUAUCUAAAUUUUAUAUAAAAUGUGCACUAAAAUCAAGUUUUUAUUCAUGAAACCUUGAUUUUUGACUUAUAAAUUAAGGAUGAAUGUUAAUGACUUAAAUUUUUAUUUUCCUUGAUUAUAUUUCCCUGAAUUUAAUUGUUUUAAGAUAAUAUUAUAAGUUUCAUAACUAUUUUUUUAUAGAAUUCUUGAUGUCAAAUUUUAUAAAAUUUAGGUUUUAGGGCUUUUAGGGUUUUGAAGUUUAAUAAACUUUGAAUAUCAAAAUAAAUUGAAUAUUUGAGACUUCAAAUUAUCUUAUGGUAUUAUAACUCUUUUAUAGUUAUAAAUAAUGUUUGUAAUUUAUUUUUAUCGGUUUAUUGGCAUUCUAUGUAGUGAUUCCGAGAUUCAAACGAAAUUGAGGAAUCAAGUAUACUAGUCCUAGUCUUCAACUUUGACUUAAGUUUCUAUGAGACUUUGAACUCACUUCUACUUCUAGGUCAAGUGCAUGAUGUGUGGAUAUGAUUCAUGAAAUGUUGUUCGAGUCAAAGAGUAACCCGAAUAUGGAUAGUCACUACAGUUAAGUAGUUGUAGAAUUCACAUACCAAUGUGAAAUCCAAGCACAUUAUCUAUUGUCGUUUUCUGUUUCCAAGAUUCUACUAGGUUAUAACUUAGCUUCUAGUUAGUAAGUCUAAUAUGUGUAGUGCCUAUAUGUGUAACUAAGUUUAUUCAAAUCUAGAACUAACUCGAAUUUUGACGGUUGUCACAAUUUGCUACAAUAAUGGAGUAAUCACCGUCAUCCUCAAACAAAUGUCUCUGAUCGGGGCCGCUACUGCCUUGCGGCUCAGGGCGUCGGCCACUACAUUGGCCUUCCCAGGGAGAUAGAGGAUCUCACAGUCAUAAUCUUUCAACACAUCUAACCACCGUCUCUGCCUCAUGUUCAGAUUUGGCUGAUCCAUGAGGUACCUCAAACUCUUGUGAUCCGUGUAAAUGGUACACCGGACCCCAUAGAGGUAAUGUCUCCAAAUCUUGAGAGCAAACACCACUGCUCCCAACUCCAAAUUAUGCGUAGGAUAGUUAGCCUCGUGGGGCUUCAACUGUCUCGAGGCGUAAGCUAUCACACGGCCUCGCUGCAUCAGCACUGCUCCCAUACCUAUGAUCGAGGCGUCACAGUAGACUACAAAAUCCUCUACUCCCUAUGGCAGGGUAAGGAUCGGUGACUCGCACAAUCUCUGCCUGAGGGUCUCAAACGCUACCUGCUGCUCAGGCCCCCAACGAAACGCCACUGACUUCUUGGUCAGUCGACUGAGCGGUACUGCUAUCUUAAAGAAAUCCUGGAUGAAUCUCCUGUAAUACCCCACAAGGCCUAGGAAGCUCCGAAUCUCGGAUGGAGACUUCGGGACCUCCCAUAGCAUUACGGCCUCUAUCUUGGCCGAAUCUACCAAACUACCUUUCUGGUUGACGAGGUGGCCAAGGAACUACACCUCGCGCAACCAGAACCCGCACUUGGAGAACUUCGCAAAAAGCCUCUCCCUCCUCAAAACUUCUAGCACCUCCCUUAGGUGUUCCUCAUGCUGCCCCCUAAAGCUGAUCAAACAAAUCAUCUAUCCUCGGAAGUGGGUAACGGUUCUUUACCGUUACCUUAUUCAGCUCCCGAUAAUCUAUACACAUACGGUGCGACCCGUCCUUUUUCUUCACAAACAAAAUCGGUGCACCCCAAGGUGAACUGCGUGGCCUGAUCAAACCUUUGUCUAACAGCUCUUGCAGCUGCGUAGACAACUCUUGCGUCUCUGGGGGUGCCAAGCAGUACGGUGCCUUGGCUAUCGGAGCCGCACCAUGAAUUAGGUCGAUCCGGAACUCGACCUGCCUCUUAGGAGGUAUUCUCGGUAGGUCCUCUGGAAAUACAUCCGGGAAAUCUCGCACCACCGUAACAUCGUCAACUGUCGUCUUGCCCUUCUCUCGAGCAUCCAAGACAUAAGCUACAUAACCGGCGCAACCCGGCUAAAAAUAGCGCCUCGCUCUUGCCGCUGAACGCGCUGUGGCCUCUCGCCCUGGAUCAGUCACUCUUCCCCACUAGGAGUGCGAACCCUCACUAAUUGUAGCUCACAAUCUAUCACCGCCCCAUUGGGGCUCAGCCAAUCCAUGCCUAUCAGCUGCUAUCUCAACCUCAAGUGGACAAUCUAGCUCCCCAGGAGCUCUGCUAAACCUCUUGCUAUGUGCAAGAGAGACGAAUGACCGGGUAGCCCCCGAAUCAAACAACACCGUAGCUGAAAUGCCGUUCACUGAGAAUGACCCUAUACAAAACAUACACCCAUAAGAAAAUAAACAAUAAAAAGAUGCAGAGAUAAAAGAGAAUCACAUACCCGUCACCAUAUCAGGAGUUGCCUUUGCCUCCUCUGCUGUCAGCUGAAAAGCCCUACUCUUUGCCACUGGCGUCUCAGCUCGGCCCUGACGGCCAUCCGUAAUCCUGAAAGUAGCAGGGGCAUGUGAUGACACAUUCCCUGCAGCCGCUAAACUCAGACACUGGGACUUUUUAUGUCCCCUCUGGUUGCACUGAAAGCAAAUCAGAUCUGAUGCUGCAAUGGCGGUGGUAGUGGCUGUACAAUCUCUGCUCAGAUGCCCAGUUCGGCCGCACUUAAAGCAGCCGGAACUCCCUACCUUGCACACCCCGUUGUGCAAUAUCCCAAAUUUGCCACAUCGACUGUGGCUCUGCUGACUCCUGGAUCUAUGAUCAGAAACCUUGGGCCUUUUGCCCGAACCCCCUGGAACCGAAGCCGUCUACGGCUUCCUCUUCCUCUCCAACUCAAGAUCAAUCUCUGGCUCCCGAGCUCUAGCAAUGAUGUCAUCCAGCGCUUUACAGUUGGACCGGUUCACAAACUGGUGGAUAUCACUCCCCAGCAUCUCAUGAUAACAGGCCUUCUUCGUUUCCUCAUCAGCUGCGUACUGAGGAACGAGAAGUGCCCUCUCCCUGAAUUUGGCGGUAAUCUCCGCCACUGUCUCUAUGGUCUGGGUCAAAUCCUGGAACUCACGUGCUAACUGCUGCACCUCAAUAAACCGUUGCGAACUCAGCUCUCAAUCUGGUGGAAAAGUCUGCCCAAGUCAUGGCAUCCAAAGUCGUGUCAUUCCCGAUGACACGACCAACCUCCACCCACCAAUCCCGUGCCCUGUUCUUCAGAAGACAGGACGCCAAUCUGACCUUUUCCCCCUCGGGACAUCGGCUCNNNNNNNNNNNNNNNNNNNNNNNNNNNNNNNNNNNNNNNNNNNNNNNNNNNNNNNNNNNNNNNNNNNNNNNNNNNNNNNNNNNNNNNNNNNNNNNNNNNNNNNNNNNNNNNNNNNNNNNNNNNNNNNNNNNNNNNNNNNNNNNNNNNNNNNNNNNNNNNNNNNNNNNNNNNNNNNNNNNNNNNNNNNNNNNNNNNNNNNNNNNNNNNNNNNNNNNNNNNNNNNNNNNNNNNNNNNNNNNNNNNNNNNNNNNNNNNNNNNNNNNNNNNNNNNNNNNNNNNNNNNNNNNNNNNNNNNNNNNNNNNNNNNNNNNNNNNNNNNNNNNNNNNNNNNNCAAAAUUCUCUCUCACGGAUCUUCGGGUUUUUAUCCCAAAUUGUGAGUAACUCUUUCUAGUAGUGUUAGAAAGCUUUAAAUGUGUUCAUAACAUAGAUUACAUAGCUAAAUCAUUCGAUUUAGGAGCUUACUCCCCAAGGUGUUCUUGGGCGGUAAACUCCCGAAAGCAAGCCUAGAUUGUUCCUCGUGAUAUACUACUGCCUUGGACUUGUAUAGGAGUGUAUUAGGGACAUGAAAUCAACCAAGAAUCACCAAAGUUUGGGAGUUCACGACCCAAGAGUAUCUUAGGCCGUAAACUCCCUUAAAGCAUGUUCAAAAUGGUGCUUUUAAGACACCUAGGGCUUAGACUUGAUUUUAGACAUGUACACUAAAGUGUUUAAAGCCUAGAAAACAUAAGGAAUCACAAGUAUUAAGGAGUUUACGGCCAAGACAACUUCUUGGGCCGUAAACCCCUAUAAAGGGGUCAAAUGACACCCUAACUCCUUCCUUAUGCNCAAGUACUAAAGUCUAGAUUUGUUCCUAGAAAUGUUUGAGACUUGAAAGCACCAUAAUAACCCUCCCAAGGGAGUUUACGGCCGUAAACUCCAAGGUAAUAUGGUCCCAGGGCCGAAAAAUCCUUAAAGGAGUUAACAGGAAGCCCAAACACUUGAUUUAGCCUUGAAACAAUUCACCACUAGAGUUGUAGUAAUUCUAAGCUUCAUUUAGUGACCCUAAGGAGAGUUUACGGCCAAGAGUUUACUCCCCUGGGCCAUAAACUCCAAAACAUAUUGUCAUUAGACCUUAAACUCCCAUUAGAGGCCUUGCACUCCUUUGUUGCAACCCAUUAGCCUCCUAGCGCUUGACCAAAAGUGCUUUCCUCACGUUAAAAUGUUUAUACUUGUAUAAUUAGUGUUUUAAUCACUAAUUAUUUAUAUACAUAUGUAUUCAUAUGUAAUUAGGAUCAUUGUGUGUGUCUAAAGUCUUCACUUGACACCAAGCACUUGCCCGAUCCUUCCUUACGAUAACAGUCCGUUUAAUUCCAGUCACUUACUGCAGGUGAGUUCAUACCCCCUUAAUAAUGUUUUAAACUAUUUUUAAAUGUUUUAUGGGGGGGGAUACAAGUAGAAUCAUGCUAGUUAUUAUAUCAAUCACAUGUGAUUAAUAAGUAGAAUUAUGCUAGUUAUUAUAUAAAUCACAUGUGAUUAAUAUGCAGCAUUCAAAUGAUUUACUACACAUUAGCCGUUUUACCAAACAGUUUCCUUCAAAUGAUUUUUAUAAACAUUUUAUAUGUUUUAAACUCUUUAUUACACUGUACAUUUUACUCUGUAUAUCACAUUUCAAACUUAUUUACAAUUGUGUUUCAAACAAAUGUUUCCUUAUACUUAAACUGUUUUAUCAAACCUAUGCCUUCAAACUGUUUUAUAGGUUGACAUCAAGUCGAUCUUUUCUGAAGAUAAUAAUUAUGUUCAAAUGUUUUACAAAACUUAUUUAUGCUUUUAUAUUAUAAAUUGCAUGCCUCUAUAUGUAUAGUUAUAUAAGAAAUGUUUAAAAGACUUAGGAAGGCUAUCCACCCUAUUUCCUUUUCGCGCUUGAGAUGUGGUCUGGUGGGAUAUCGGGUACUCGUCCGAAGGUCGUUUAAAUAUUAGUUAUAUAUCAUGUGUACAUAUAUAGUCAUAAAAGGUCCUUCCAGUUCAUCCCAUGCCCUUGGGUAGCAAGGGUAUACAUCCAUGUCCAUACGUACCAGUUAGAUUACUAGUAAACUACCAUAUGGGUAGUUUAGGAAGAUACUAGAACUAUUACUAGAACGCGAUAUCAUACUAUGAGUCAGUUCAUUCAUGAGUCAAUACUUACUACUAGAAGAACAUAUACAACUAUACUAGAGAAGAACAUAUACAACUAUACUAGAGAGAGAACAUAUACAACGAUACUAGAACGAUUACAUUACUAUACUUGCUAGGUAGAGAGCACGUACAUUACAGCUAGAACAGUUCAUUACAUUACAUAUACAUGAAUACGUUAAUUAUUGUGAUCUAAAUCGGAGCAUGACUUAAAUGUCAUGACCCGAGUUGUAGCCAGAGUCUCUUGGAGGGAGAGCGUGAGUUUGCGUAUAGAUCUAUACUGGAUUGACUAUCCUACACCUUGCUGCUAGCUACAGCCGGACCUGCAGGUCUGCGGGUGCCAAACGUCAUUCCGUUAUUACGACCAUUCGUAUGUCGUUGUUACCAGUCGAUAGUAUGGUGCAAUUAAUCACAUUAUGCCUUAAUAUAAAUCCGGUUUAAGGUAGUUAGUACAGCAGUAGUUCUUAUAGCGCUACGUUUUAGUACUACAUUAAUUUUCCCUGUACAUAUAUUUAGUGAUCUUUUCACUUAAACUAUAAAUGUAAAAACUAUAUUUUGUUAAUAAUAGUUACACUUGGGAAAAUUACACACUUUUACAUGACACGAACAUUUAGAACAGUUAAGUCUUGGUAGAAGACUACAUUGAGAACAGUUAGGUCUUGGUAGAAGACACCCUUAUAUAAUAGUAGAAAUCAUAGGGAUUUCUAGAGUUUUUCAAACGUUUACAAUUGUUUCACAAACAUUUCCAUACUUACAGUUUACAAACUUACAAAUUCUUACAUUUACAGUUCAUAUACAUUUUCCAAACUUACUAAUUCUUACAUUUACAGUUCAUAUACAUUUUCCAAACAUACAAAUUCUUACAUUUACAAUUCAUAUACAUUUUCCAAACUUACAAAUUCUUACAUACAAAUUGAGACACUAAAAUACUUAUGAUCUCACCAGCUUCAAAGCUGAUACUCGCUUUCAAAAUUACUUGUAUCCUCAGGUCAUCAUAGACAGGUACCGAUGCAAGGAGAAAGGAAGAUGGAGCUUGUUCAAGACUUAUCUUUCAUUUUGAUUUAUGCUUUAGUGUUUAUCAAAAUUUGACAGAAUACAAUUGUAUAAUAAUUAUUUUAUUAAUGCAAUGGAUGAUGUUGUUGCUUGUUUACUACUUUACAUUGUUGUUGAUAUUAUACAUGACGUCCUCCGCCCCAGAACGUUUCCGCCGUUCUUGGUUUUGGGGUGUGACAGAUUGGUAUCAGAGCAUUGUUUAUAGUGAAUUAAGUAUAUCAACCCAUAAAAGAUAUACUAACUAUAAAUACAUAAGGGAUUAAAAAUACUCUGACCAAGAGUUUAUACUUUAAAUAAUAAAAUAUUUAAGUAAGUAUACGUGCUGCAUUCAUACUAAAAUCAGUGUCACUAGGACAGUACAAAAGAAUUACGAUUGUUGGGCAACACAAGUGGGCUUAGAGACAUAUGGUCAAAACUGGGAAGAUAUAGCCUGAUCACCUAUAUUAUCCGAGGGUUGACUAGCAUGUGCCUAAGUUUAAUUGUGUGGUUGCAACAAUGCUAAAAUCUUACCAACCCUACCACAAUGAGAACAAUAGAACAUAACAUUAAAAUUAAAAUACUAUAGGAGUAUUUGGUGUUACUAUAAGUACUUUAUACUUGAGAACUAAAACGGGAUCUUCAUUACUAAGUUGAUAGUUGCUAAGUGGAUACACUAAGGCUAUAUGUAAUUAGGAUGUUAUAGACUUAGAAUCUGUGGAAAUUUUACUUCACCCCUAUUCUGUGUGAAUACGGAGUUAAGGUCACUUAUUCGAAGGUCUAUCCUGUUUAGAUUACACAUAGCUGGUAUGCACUUCACAAAUAGCGAUGUAACUAAUGAAGGUUUUCUAAAUAAUUAUCUAGAUAGUUCGUCUAAUAAUUAUUCUCUUACCCUAAAUUCUCGCAUAGAAAACAUAGCUGGACUCCAUCCCCACGGCAACCAGUAUCUUCCGAACGAAGUCAUAACUGGUUGGUUUGGAGAAGAACCAGAGAAUGAUCAUCCUAUCCCCUUGAAUGAUCACCAUGAUGAAGACCUUUCGUAUGAUGCUAACUCUGAACCAGAGGUUGAGAACCUACCCCGAGCAGCUCCCUUGCCAAUUCCUAACCCUCGUCCGGCUUUUCAUGGCCCGACCCCUGAGUGGGUGGAAUGCUUGGAAACAAGGAGCCAAGGACAAGAUCAGCCCAUGCCAUUUAAUGGUGACCGAAGCUUUGAUGACCUGAACAAUGGGGGCUCAGCAUGCAAAAUCUUGCCAAUCUUGGUCCGUAGACUGACCCGAAAUGAGAUUCAAGGCUGGACAGCCUUACAUCAGAAUACCGAAGUUGUCGCCGAUGCGAGAAUGCAUACCCUCCGCACCAUUCGUCUAGAAGAUGCUCGCGAGAGAUCAGAGAGAAACCAUGAAACCCUGCUGCAAGCGCUGGCUGAAUCACGAGGCGAAGUCAUAGAGCUCCAAGUACACCAGAGGGUGCUCAAAAAACACCUACUUGACAUGGAACGCCAACUGGCUGAACUGAGAGUUCACCAGAAGGAUGACCGUCCCUAGUAGUAGAUAUUGUACUUUGUUUUCCUUGUUAAAAGGAAUCGUUUUUCUGUCUUUGCCCGAAGUGGCAUUUUCCUAUGAAACUAUCUAGUACUGUAACUACCUUUGGUUAGGUCUUUAUGCUGUCAAGAAUUAUCUUCUCGGGAUAUGAUGUAAGACCUUUACAAGGUCAUUUUCCUGAAUCUUUACAUCGUGAAUAUCAAAGAUAUUGACAGUCGGCUAACUUCUGUGUCAUUCUCCAUUCAAGUACUCUUAUCAUUCUUUCAUUAGAGUCUAUCUGAAACAUGCUUUAGUCAAGUCAUUGAACUAUAGCAAGUUAGAUCUGGAGACAAUUCCAAGUCUCUUUUAGUGGUUGGAUCAUGUUAUUCGCCAACCAUCGAUACCUCGGCUUGAACGACAAACGUCUUGAGACCAUUCUACAAACUUACUUCUACUCAUUACUAGGACUGCAUCAUAGGGAUGUAGGUCAAACCUUCGCGAUCAUACUUCCAUUUCCGUGCUAGGAAUGCAUCAUAGGGAUGUAGGUCAAACUUUCGAGAACAUACUCUUACUCUUUGAUUGAACAAUCGCCAUACACCUAGGGUCAACCAGAAUCGCUCACAAAUUCCUUAUCUUUCGUAUUACAGAAUCAUGUCGUCACCGGAAAGAAUCAGUCGGACAACGAAACCUCUACCUUUCCUAUGGACGCUGCUACCUUCCAAACCGCAGUUACAACUGCCGUGAUGGCUGCCAUGACAGCUGUCCUUGCGCACCGUAGCACUAUCAGCACAAGCAAUGCUGAUAUUGGGAUAUAAAAUUCCAAUUGUAGUAUCAAUCCAGGAAGUCGCCAAACAGUAACAGUUACAGGCUCGCAAAGUCGAAAGAUAGAGAACAAGAAACGAAAGCUUCAAGCCCAGAAAGAACGCAAGAAAUCCCAAAGGCUGGCUAUGCAACAACAACAAGUGGAAACCCCUACCAUCCCAGUACCAAGCAAGCCAUACGAGGGAAAACUCCUAAAGUGUGAUAAAUGUAGUUUCCAUCAUCAUGGGGCUUGCCAUGAGAUGCAGUGUUGCAAUUGCCUAAAAAUAGGGCACCAUGCUCGUGGCUGUGGAGCACCGACACGACCCAUCACUCAUGUCCCUUUCAUCGGGACUAACCCUACACACGAGAGUAGUUAUAACGCCGAACACUUUAGGAAGCAAUUUUCAAAGUGGAGUAACGAGGAAGGCACUCGUGUCUACAUAACAUUGGCUAAACACCGCAAUCCCGUCACCAAAGCUAGUACUAGCCAGUCAUGCCACCAAUGCGAGGAGAUAGUGCACUUCAAGAAGGAUUGCCCUGUAGCAAAGAACUCUGGCGCAGACGGGAAGAUUCUCAGGAUCACAGCUGUAGGAGAGCUUACGCCGGAACCCUCGUUAAUGUAACUUAGGUGUGUUGUUGUAACAGAUUUAUAAACUAUCCAGAACUAGUACAACUAGAGUCUUACCUCUUGCGAGAUCCUGCCUGUAUAGGGAUUCUCGUGUUGCGUAUACAUGUCUUUUGUAGUAUAUCUUAUUCGCAGCAAUAGUCUUGUGGUAAAUCUAAAGUAAUGUAACUCUGUUCAUGGUUGCAUGGUUGUGUUUUGUCUGUAAACGUUUGAUGUUCAAAUCUAAUGUCUUUAAGUUUUAGUAUGAUUCCGAGAUUAUCGUACGACUCGAUUCAAUUUGAUCCUCACAAAAACAGCUUCAUACGUACAUCUCUUUCUUCUAGAUCACUUUUCCAGCGAAGCCGUCAUAUCAGAACACCGAAGUACUCAUGCCAGGAGUACCUCUUAGUUACUUUCUUUCCGAAGAAAUCCCCGAAGGACCACUCGUGCAGUACGACAAGUUUAAUCCAAGGAUUUAUACGAUUGAUCUAUCACUGAGGAAUGUAUGCAUAAGAGUGAUAUAUAAUCAAGGUUCUACAGGUUUAGAAUUGAUGAUUCCACUUUAACUUCUUUUUCCCCGAUGGGAUGUGAGCUUAAAGAAGAAUCAGUUAUUCGACUACCUUUUCAAUCUUAAUUAUAUACGACUCGUAUACACGAAAUUGUGAUUGUGAAACCAUGUAUGAAUUCUAAUAUGAACUUCAGGACGGAGAACUGCCUAAGCCUACGAGUAAUCGCAUCGUCAUGUGAACAAACUUAGAACCCAGUACGACUCUUGUAAACAGAUCGCCCUAUAGUCUAAACACCUACGGAGAUACCAGAACAGUACAAACAACUUAACGAACUGCACAGCGAUAGAAUAAGAAGACUAGGCUUCUCACCCUGGAGAAACCCCAGUCUUAUUCUCCCAGAGAUCGACGGAUUGCAUCGUAUGUGCCUCGGAUUUCGAGGACUCCGUCAAGAUUUUUCAUUAGAAAUCGUUAUCUCUGCCGCACAUAGAUGAAAUGGUUGAGCAAACGCAAGGAAAGAAUUACUUUCAGAAAUGGAUCUGAGAUCCGAAUAUCACCAGUUCGAGUGUUAGGGAAGGAUGUCCGGAAGACUAUCUUCCGAACUCGAUGCGGACACUUCGAGUCCGUAGUGAUACCCUUCGGAUAGGACCAAUACGCCCAUAGCUUUCAUGAGCUAAACGAAUAGGGUACGUCUUUCUUACUUGGAUCAGUUCGUCAUUUCUCCAUGUAAUGACUUACUUAUCUACCCUCGUAGUAAGAAGAAAACCCAUGGAAACAUUUCCUACAGAGGAACUUUUAGCGAAGUUCUCUAGGCACGAGUUUUGAAAUUGAAGAGUCAAAUUUCUAUGACACACUGUUAGUAAUGUGGGAAAUUUUGAGUACUCUUUCAAUUUGUCAAAGCCGUUGAGCAUUUGUCGACACCAGAGACGCCGACAGUCAUUCGCCAAAUUCUAGGUCUUACCGACCUACCGUCUUAGUUCAUUCAGAACUCCUCGCAAAUUACAGAAACCCGUACGACUUUGACCCAGCAAGGGGUGGCCUUUGACUGGGAAGUUAAGCAAGAAAAGGAACCUUUGGAAUUCCAAGUGAGUGACCAAGUUCUUUAGGAUAACUCACUCUGGGAAUGGCUUAAUACGCUUCGUAUCGCGUGGAAAGCUAAAUCCAAUAUAGUUAGGACCUCCGAGAUUCUUAUCAGAAUCGGUCCUGUGCCUCGCACAAACUAGACCUACUCCGCGAACUCAGUAACGUACAUCCUACUCUUCGCGUCUCGAUCGUGAAACCAUACCUUUCCGUUAGGACUCUUGUAAGUCCACUCGUCGAGAUCCUCGCCUUCGUAUUAGAACCGUAGUGACCCUCGACCGAGAGGUCAAGCGGACGAAGCAGCGCCAUCGCCCGAUAGUGAAGGUUCGUUGGGAUUCCAACCGAGAACCCGAUUUCACUUAAGUGCGCUAGAACCAAUCGAUUAGGAAGUUUCCUCCUCACGACUCGAUCAUUCGUACAUACUUCCUUGCCUAAAUUCUAAUUUCGGGACGAAAUUCCCUUCAACAGGGGGAUGAUGUGACAACCCGAAAUUUCCAUUCUGAACAAACCAUUUGAAGCCAAUAGAAGUAGAACAGUUACAGUGAAAACUCAGAUUUCGAGUAUAAGUUUGGCAGUUUUCAGGAUUUUACACUUAAGGAGAUAUUAGGAGAGUGGAUGCACUAGGGUUUUGUGCAACACUGUUAUUCCAAUACUCUAGGACAUUAGAGUUCGUUCCAGGAAUAAAAAUAUUUUCUGCCAAAAAUAUCUCAGGACUAUAAAUAGAAUUCUGAACCAAAUUGGUUCAUUAGUUGAAUUCCAAUUAGAGAAAAGUCAAAAUUCUCUCUCACGGAUCUUCGGGUUUUUAUCCCAAAUUGUGAGUAACUCUUUCUAGUAGUGUUAGAAAGCUUUAAAUGUGUUCAUAACAUAGAUUACAUAGCUAAAUCAUUCGAUUUAGGAGUUUACUCCCCAAGGUGUUCUUGGGCGGUAAACUCCCGAAACCAAGCCUAGAUUGUCCCCCGUGAUAUACUACUGCCUUGGACUUGUAUAGGAGUGUAUUAGGGACAUGAAAUCAAGCAAGAAUCACCCAAGUUUGGGAGUUCACGGCCCAAGAGUAUCUUAGGCCGUAAACUCCAAAAAGCAUGCUCAAAAUGGUGCUUUUAAGGCACCUAAGGCUUAGACUUGAUUUUAGACAUGUACCCUAAAGUGUUUAAAGCCUAGAAAACAUAAGGAAUCACAAGUAUUAAGGAGUUUACGGCCAAGACAAGUUCUUGGGCCGUAAACCCCUAUAAAGGGGUCAAAUGACACCCUAACUCCUUCCUUAUGCCUAGAACCCAACAUAGAUCAUAACCUUGAAAUGUUAGAGACUUGAAAACACCAUAAACACCCUCCCAAGGGAGUUUACGGCCGUAAACUCCAAGGGAAUAUGGUCCCAGGGCCGUAAACUCCUCAAAGGAGUUAAUAGGAAGCCCAAACACUUGUUUAAGCCUUGAAGCAAUUCACCACAUGAGUUGUAUAAUUGUUAGACUUCAUUUAGGGACUUUGUUGAGAGUUUACGGCCAGGAGUUUACUCCCCUGGGCCGUAAACUCCAAAACAUAUGGUCAUUAGACCAUAAACUCCCAUUAGAGGCAUUGCACUCCUUUGUUGCAACCCAUUAGCCUCCUAGCACUUGACCAAAAGUGUUUUCCUCGCGUUUAAAUGUUUAUACUUGUAUAAUUAGUGUUUUAAUCACUAAUUAUUUAUAUACAUAUGUCUUCAUAUGUAAUUAGGAUCAUUGUGUGUGUCUAAAGUCUUCACUUGACACCAAGCACUUGUCCGAUCCUUCCUUACGAUAACAGUCCGUUCAAUUCCAGUCACUUACUGCAGGUGAGUUCAUACCCCUUAAAUAAUGUUUUAAACUAUUUUUAAAUGUUUUUUGGGGGGGGAUACAAGUAGAAUCAUGCUAGUUAUUAUAUCAAUCACAUGUGAUUAAUAAGUAGAAUUAUGCUAGUUAUUAUAUCAAUCACAUGUGAUUAAUAUGCAGCAUUCAAAUGAUUUACUACACAUUAGCCGUUUUACCAAACAGUUUCCUUCAAAUGAUUUUUAUAAACAUUUUAUAUGUUUUAAACUCCUUAUUACACUGUACAUUUUACUCUGUAUAUCACAUUUCAAACUUAUUUACAAUUGUGUUUCAAACAAAUGUUUCCUUAUACUUAAACUGUUUUAUCAAACCUAUGCCUUCAAACUGUUUUAUAGGUUGACAUCAAGUCGAUCUUUUCUGAAGAUAAUAAUUAUGUUCAAAUGUUUUACAAAACUUAUUUAUGCUUUUAUAUUAUAAAUUGCAUGCCUCUAUAUGUAUAGUUAUAUAAGAAAUGUUUAAAAGACUUAGGAAGGCUAUCCACCCUAUUUCCUUUUCGCGCUUGAGAUGUGGUCUGGUGGGAUAUCGGGUACUCGUCCGAAGGUCGUUUAAAUAUUAGUUAUAUAUCAUGUGUACAUAUAUAGUCAUAAAAGGUCCUUCCAGUUCAUCCCAUGCCCUUGGGUAGCAAGGGUAUACAUCCAUGUCCAUACGUACCAGUUAGAUUACUAGUAAACUACCAUAUGGGUAGUUUAGGAAGAUACUAGAACUAUUACUAGAACGCGAUAUCAUACUAUGAGUCAGUUCAUUCAUGAGUCAAUACUUACUACUAGAUGAACAUAUACAACUAUACUAGAAAGAGAACAUAUACAACGAUACUAGAACGAUUACAUUACUAUACUUGCUAGAUAGAGAAAGAACACACAUUACAGCUAGCACACGUCGAACAUUUCCGUACAUUACACUUACAUUAAUACGUUCAUAAAAUUGUGAUCCACUGUAUCGGAGCAUGCCUUAAAUGUCAUGGCCCGAGUUGUAGCCAGAGUCUCUUGAAGGGAGAGCGUGAGUUUGCGUAUAGAUCUAUACUGGAUUGACUAUCCUACACCUUGCUGCUAGCUACAGCCGGACCUGCAGGUCUGCGGGUGCCAAACGUCAUUCCGUUAUUACGACCAUUCUUAUGUCGUUGUUACCAGUCAAUAGUAUGGUACAAUUAAUCACAUGAUGCCUUAAUAUAAAUCCGGUUUAAGGUAAAUAGUACAGCAGUAGUUCUUAUAGCGCUACGUUUUAGUACAACAUUGAUUUUCCCUGUACACAUAUUUAAUGAUCUUUUCACUUAAACUAUAAAUCUAAAAACUAUAUUUUGUUAAUAAUAGUUACACUGCGGAAAAUUACACACUUUUACAUGACACGAACAUUUAGAACAAUUAAGUCUUGGUAGAAGACUACAUUGAGAAAAGUUAGGUCUUGAUAGAAGACACCCUUAUAUAAUAGUAGAAAUCAUAGGGAUUUCUAGAGUUUUUCAAACGUUUACAGUUGUUUCACAAACAUUUCCAUACUUACAGUUUACAAACUUACAAAUUCUUACAUUUACAGUUCAUAUACAUUUUCCAAACUUACAAAUUCUUACAUUUACAGUUCAUAUACAUUUUCCAAACAUACAAAUUCUUACAUUUACAAUUCAUAUACAUUUUCGAAACUUACAAAUUCUUACAUACAAAUUGAGACACUAAAAUACUUAUGAUCUCACCAUCUUCAAAGCUGAUAUUCGCUUUCAAAAUUACUUGUAUCCUCAGGUCAUCAUAGACAGGUACCGAUGCAAGGAGAAGGGAAGAUGGAGCUUGUUCAAGACUCAUUUUUCAUUUUGAUUUAUGCUGUAGUGUUUAUCAAAAUUUGAUAGAACACUUGUAUAAUAAUUAUAUUAUUAAUGCAAUGGAUGAUGUUGUUGCUUGUUUACUACUUUUCAUUGUUUUGAUACUGUACAUGACGUCCUCCGCCCCAAAACGUUUCCGCCGUUCUUGGUUUUGGGGUGUGACACCAACCAUCUAGUACUUGCAACGGGGUCUCGUGCCCCAUGGUAGUCUGGAGGUCCAUACGCCCGGAACUCCCUGAAAGUAAGUGUGCGCGACCCCAUCAUGGCCGCCACCUCAGCACGAAAGGUGCCUAACUUAUCCUCCAUCAACUCAUGUAUAGCCUCCUUGAUCGAACCAAAGAACACUGGAGUCUGCUCAAGAAUGAUACGAGUGAUUUCUGAAGUGAAGAACUCUCUGGUCUGCUCAUCCAAAUGUUUGGCUCCUGAGCCUGAUCCCGAUCCUUCUCCGGCACCUAAACUGCCGCCUGCUGGUCUGGAGCGUAAAACCACCAUUCUUAAAAUACAUUACGAUAAAUGUCAGAAACACUGAUAUACCUCAAGGGAUCACUACUAUUACAGACCCUCUGGUCCCAUCUUGGCCUUCCUUGAUUCGAGUACGGAUCCUCCGCUUCCGGUAGUAUGGGCUCCUACCACCUUGCACAUCUAUCCGUACUUUCCUCAUGAACUGCCUCGACUCCACCCAACUACUACUACUACUACUGAUCUCUACUACACUCAUCCUAGGAUUGCCCUAGGGAAAUAUCUGACUCAACCCUUACCAGUCCUCAGCUGUUGAAGGCCUCCUUGUGAUGCCAAUUAGUCAUUACAUGAAUACCAUCACAUGUGGAGAGGCUCAGAUAAUCCUUCAAGUACAGAACUCAUCCCCACAACGGUUAGACUCAAACAAGAGCUGCGCAGCAGGGCCAAAGCCAACACUCUGAGAUUAUUCAACCCUGUUCACAUGUGCUGUGGCACAUUCACCUAACGACUAACUCCCAUCACUCAGAGUCCUACAAAGCACAAAGCAAGUAGCAUUCAGACACGGAAACUACUCAAGCAAUUCUAUCCUCGUAAUGAGAAACUGUACUAGCAUACAAUGCUAAGCUCGUGUUAUCAGGCAUAACCUAAACAGGCUAUCCUAUUGUUGUCUACUUGAUGCUAACAUGCAAUCCUCAUAAAGUUGGAACAUACAAAGCAGGCACAUAAGGCAUCCUCCUAGAUCCUUAGUCCUAUAGUAGCAUACUUUUCUACUGAAACUGAAACAAUUAAUCGUAAUAUAAACUUGUAUAGGUAAUUUGGGAGUACUUACUUGAGCUCGGCUGAUCGCAUGCACCACACCCUUUACUCUUUACCAAAACUAUUUUCUUUCUAAGUUCUUACAAAAUUACUUUUCUUUUGAAAACCCCUUUUCAUUUUCCUUAGUUUGACUUCAGAUGUACCUGAGAGGGUGUAUAUGAAUCCCUCAAACCAAGGCUUUGAUACCAACUUGUAACAUCCAAAAAUGCAACCCAAAUUUUUUUUUAUAAUAUUAAAAUCAUGAUACUGAAUACCAUACUAAUAAACUUAUUUCAUAAUUCUCAAAACAAAAUGGAAUGUGUCAUAUCAAACUGUAUCAAACAUGUGAAAAUGUCCAAUCAUACUCCCAGGAAAAACUGCUGAAGUUGUGGUGUGUGCGAACAUACCAUACAAUACAUAUAAAUCACAUACUGGGCCUCGCCCAUUGCAUCAGACCGAAGUCUGGAAGCUGCAUCGGACCGAAGUCCGGAACUAACUGGGACCUCGUCCCCUGCAUCAGACCGAAGUCCGGAACUGGCUGCAUCGGACCGAAGUCCGGAACUGACUGCAUCAGACCGAAGUCCAUAACUAACUUAGCAUAACAUAGCAUAAACACAUAUCAACUACCACAUAAACAUACCAACCAGCAUAAACACAUAUACUGCAUACUGCAUCAGGCCGUAGCCCUGAACACAUAACGCAUAAAACCUGUCUGAGCCACGAAGGCAUCAAACACACUAACUGCUACAUCGGACCGAAGCCCUGAACUACUGCUAACUAAUCGGGCCGGCAUUGUGGCCGUAGACCCGUUCCUACUGGAAGGAAACUCACUUCGUGUAUUGGCUGCUAAAUGAACUCCUCUGGAAACUAUCUGCUGUUGCUCCGGUAUCUCCCCAGCUACAAUUUCCAUAAUUACACUCAAUUAAUUACUGAUAACUGUAUCGAGGGUAAAAUAACUAUUUUACCCCUAGUGAAAGUCAACCUCCUAGUGAAAGUCAACUUCCCGUUGACCGGACUCGCCGAGUCAGGGCACAGACUCGCCGAGUCCUUCCUUUACUGACUCUAAUUUCUACUCACCGAGUCCCUCUUUCACUCACUGAUUUACUUCGAACACUCGACUCAAAGAAAGACGAGGAUUCGCGACUCGACUCGCCGAGUCCAAAGAACUACUCGCCGAGUCUGACAAACUACUCGCCGAAUUCUAACGUGCAGACUCCAUAUACUGCUUUUGAAUCCGCUCUAUGUUUCCCAACUCGCAGAUCUGAAUUCUUGGACUCAUUUGAACACGUAAAGUUGCUAACUUUACGUGUAACUAUGAAGGAAUGAGGCCAUUGAUCUUUGAAACACUUUAUUUGGGAACACUCAUCCAACUCGCUGAGUUGUUCAUGCAACUCGUCGAGUUCUAAGGCAAACUUCAUAGGACUUGCCGAGUUGUUCUUCCAACUCACCGAGCUAACGGCUAUCUUCAUGCAACUCGCCGAGUUCUUUCAGUCCUUUUUCCAUACAGAUCCGAUCUACGCCAUGCAGCUGAUUCCAAUCACGGAUCUGAACUUCUCGGGCAUGCUUUUCACGUAAAGUUGCUAACUUUACGUGCAUGCAUGCCAUUAAAGGCUUCAUAUGACCAAAAUAAGCUCUUAAUGGGGUUCUAGGCUCAAUAGGGACUUCAAACACAAUCACAACAAAAACUUUAUACUUCUAACAUGCCAUGAGUGUCCAGAUCUGAAGUAUAAACCGGCCUUAAGGCCUAAUCAUAGAGAAUUUGGGGAUUUAGAGCUUAGAACCCACAAAUUAGGGACAACAUAGAUCUAUAUGCUCAAAAGCCAAGGUAUAGAAUUGAAUACCAAAAAAGAUGACCAAUAGAGUGUACAAUCCGGAUCUACUUCCUCUUUCUUGGGCUCUCCAACUUCCACCUUCUCCUUCUUACUCCAAAGGUGCCUUUACAAGCAUUGAACACACACACACACACUAAGAAUGGAUAGGGUUUUGCUAUCAGAUGUUCUGGGGUGAAAAAGGAUGAGUUAGGUGCAUAACGAAGUUUAAAUAGGUCCAAAACCCUGAAAUUAGGGUUUCCUACUGACAGGCAAACUCGCUGAGUCCAGCGUAUGGACUUGCUGAGUAGCCGGCUAAAUACGCGUGUUCAUCCCAUCUCUACUCGACGAAUUGGGCAACGGACUCGCCGAGUUCUCCUCAAAAAUGGAAACACUUAUUUAAAUACAUGUCAGGAAUGGGGCGUUACAAAAACUUUUACUCUUACAUUUGACAAGUGUUUUAAAGCUUCUUUAAGACAUGUCACUCAGAUUACAUUCUUGGAGUAUAACUCUAAGAUUUGUAUUGGAACGAAGUAUGACUCAUCUUCUUGAUUUAACCAUUUCAACAAUUCAAGUUCCUCUUGUUAGUCAUGAGAAUGCACUAAGAUUUCCUUAGAGAACUAAUUGUGCUAUGGUUUCUUAAUCAUUAAGAUGAUCACAAAACUGAUACUAAAGUACGCUCCCAUCUUUUCAGAUUUGAGAAACUUUUAUCCUUCUGCCUAAUUUGAUUUUUCUUAUUCGCUCUACCAUACAUUGGAACCUUUUCCAAUGUCUCAGAGUUACACUUAAGCUUGUAAGUAUAAUCAUAUUUACUAAGCUUUAGUAAACUAUGAUGAAUUGUCUUAUCGACCUUUUGUGGUGGACUUGACCAGUGCACAAGAAUGAGUACUCGAUCCCUUAGUCCUUCACUUGACUCACACAUCCUUGUGAACAAGUAGUUAGUCUUAAUUUUUUCCAAUGCUUGAAAGUUCUCAUUCAUUAUGCUAUACAACUUGUAUGAUUCCAAGUUUCUAUCCAACUGAAACUUGGGUUACGAGAAUCUUUCCUUAUUUGGUAAAUUUAGACACUACCACAAAUGAAAGAAUCAAAUUCAUAUUUCCACUCUUGCUCUUAAUGGAAUCUUAUAAGCAACAAAAAUUUUCACAGAUGCCAUUGUAAGGAUAUUUUAAAAUAAAUAAAAUCAGAAAUUUUCCUUUUAUUUUAAAAACUUUGUGGAAAAGCUUAUCCUUACAAUCCAUAUGAAAACUUUUCGUUGUCUAUUCCUAAGAAAAAAUAUCAUAACUCCAAAGAAGUAGCUCAAGAAUCCAAUCUUCAAACUAUGCGAUAGAAAUCCAUUUACGCGAUCAGAUUCAACAUAUUCUUUCUUUAAGUUUCUUCAUUUUUCUUUGAUUCUUAAAACAUCACCAUGUGACCCGGUCACAUCAUGUAUCAAGAAUCUCAGAAUAGAAACUUAACAGAGUUAGAUAGUGGACUUUACCUGAAGUAGAGUCGAACUUAUUGACUUUAACAUCCUUAGGUAAAAUUUGGCAGCUUCGCAACUAAUGCCCCUUCCUUUGGCAAUACAAACAUAUGGAUCCUUUGGUAAUGCUACACGGGACUAUCACUGAAUUAGCUUUUCUCUUUACCAUUUGGUCAACCGAGUUGACUAUGGCCGAUCCCUUUCCAUUGGGAAGAGAAAGCUUUACUGGAUAUCCAAAGUCAUCAUUGUCAAUGUCCAUAAAAUUUUAGGAAGUUGAUCUUAGAAAAUAGAUAAGAUCAUUAAGGUUCUUGUCAUAGUCUAUUUCAUAGGUGUCCUAAAGGAACUCACUAUGUGACUUAGAAAGUGAUUGAACCACCAACUUUCUCAAGACUUUGACACCCAACUCUCCCGGCUUGUCAAUAUGUGACUACAUCUCCAAGAUGUGACCACACCUAGACCUUGCCUUGCUAAUAGGGCCUGAGUGACCUUAAACUUUUCAAGAACUUGUGGGUUAGGGAGAAUAAUUUGAAGAGGUGAAGAAGUAUGAUAUCCAUGGGACAUCAUCUUCAUUAGGAAACCUUGUUUCAAGAGAUUUGGGAAGAUCAUAGGUGUCUAAACCAGACAUCUUUUGGGAGAUAUUCAAGAUAGUUGAUUUAAAGUCCUUAAUAUGACACCCAAUAUGAAAUAUUAAGGCUAGGACCCAACAAACUAUUUUAUAACUUAGAAGAGGUAUGCCGUAAUCCAAGCUAUAAAAUAUUUGAAGGUAGGUGAAUGACGAUUCACCAAUUUCCACCAAGAUAAACGAAAUGUAUUAUUAGGUUUUAAUUGGUUUUGAAACUCCUAGAUCUUUGAGAUUCAUUGAACUUUUCAAAGGCAUGUUUCAAUCUCGAGUGUGCCCUUCAGGUUUUGUGACUGGGAUGCCGAGGAUCACAAAACAAGGUGUGAAGUAACCAUGCAAAUCACUUGGUACCCUUAAUAAAUUACCCCUCAAUCGAUGUGCCGGUUAACCACACACGCUCCAUCGAUACUAUGAUAAAUAUUAAGUCACCCUUUACCUACCUUGUUAAGUCCAAGUUAGUGUGCCGGUUAACCACACACGCUCCACUAACGACUUAGACAAAGUGUAAAGUGUAAUUUCAUGGAUUAGCACCUUAUUCACAUUUUUCCUAAGUAACUAAGAUUGGGUAUUAUUAAGAGUUUAGUUACUUAGUAUUAUCAUUAAUACUUUUAAUGAAGGGAGAAUUCUAGUCCUGUCAAACCCGUUCGGCUAACGACCCUCCACCAGUCAAGCAAGCGGUGGGUGAGAGUGGACACCCAUUAAGUUGCCAUUUUAUAGGCAACAACCUUAUACCCACCUUAUAGACCGGCUUCGUGAAUGAGGCGUACUAGCGGUAAGACUGACUUUACUCUUAUACAUAUAUAUAUUAUUAACUUAUAAUAUUAUAAAGUAUAAGGGUUGAAUUUUAACUUUUAAAAUUCUAAGGGCUAACUUGGAAUUAAAGUAUUCAUAAGUGAAAACUUUUCAAAUUCCAAAACUUGAGGGCAAGUUUUGAAACUAUUCAAAACUAAUUAAUUCCAUAACUUAUGUGUUUAAAGUAGUUUUAAUCCAAAAACUCUUCAAGUUCCAUAACUUGAGGAAAGGUUAUGGAAGACUUUAAACUAAUAAAAGAAUUGACUUAUCUUUAUUUUAUAACUUAUGGAAUUAAUUAAGGUUACAUUUUUUUUUUAUUAUUUAAUGAAAUGACUCUUAAGAGACUCUUGGUCCUCCAUAACUUGAGGACAAGUUAUGGAGUCAUAAAACCAUUUAAUUAGAACUAGACUCUUCAUUUUUGUAACCUUUGCCAAUUUUUAUGAGUUUUAUGAUUCUUAAAUGUGACUUUUCAUAUAACUUGAGGACAAGUUACAAAAACACAUUUUAGAAUCAAUUCUUAGAUUAAUUUGGAUUAAAACCAACUNUUUCUAUUAAUCUAAGCAACUCAUAAGAACAAGAUAAUUCAAAUCAAACUUUUUCAUGUAAUUAGCCUAAUCACUAAACUAAUUCAAAACAUGAAUCUAUUGACAAUUAUCUUUGAAAUUGGAUUAGCAUGAACAUUACCACAUCAAAAACAAGUUUAUAAGUUCAAAAACAACUUAGGGUAAUGUUCCUAGUCCAUUUCUAGCCAAAAACCUCGAAAAUAUGCUGUUUGGGGCUCCUACUCGUCGAGUACGUGAACCUACUCGACGAGUAGUAUGAUUUUACUCAUGGACUCGGCGAGUUCAUCAGUGGACUCAGCAAGUCCAAUGACCAGAAAGCCAGAAAAUCGAGUUUUUCAGCAUUUUUCAGCAAUUUGCAUCAAGUAUAAUAGAAAACAAGCCUAGGCUCUGAUACCACUGUUGGGUUUUGAGCAUUCUAACACUCCUAAGUGUACAUGCAACCCUAAAUACCUUGGAUCUAUGUUUUCUCUAUUAUACAUGCAAAUAUGAACAUCUAAGGUAUUAUCCCAAUCUAAGCUAUAAAACAAAUGAAUAUAACAAGAUAGAAUAUAUACCUCUUUGAUGUAGAUUAUCUUGAUAAAGCUUGAGUGCCUAGUGCCCCAAGUGUCACACCUCAAAUGCUUCACACAACAUCAAUUGCUUUUGGAAUAACCUAGAGAGAAAUGUAGAACACUCCUUGAAAUCGUUUAGCCCUCAAACUCACACAUAGUGCCCGAUUUCUUGAGCCAUGGGAUUCUUUUAUAUGGUGGCUAUUAGGUUACACCAUGUAACUCAUGACUUUACCCAUUCCUUAUGCUCCAUGGAUUUUAACCUCCAUGGAGUAUCCAUGGGUCACCUCAUGGACUUAGUCCAACAUAAGGAAUCUUGGAUCAUAAGCCCACAUAUAUAAGAAUGAAUGAUUUACACAAUCAACCCAUAUAUUUAAUUAGUCUCCUUUUGAUCACUUAAUUAAUUCCAAAUUAAUUCUUGAUCAAUACUAAUUAAAUAACCUUAUUAAUAUAUUAUAACUUAUAAUAUAUUAACAAACCUUAAGUGUUAUCUCUCUCAUUAUAGUCUAUCCAAAUGCAUGAUGCCAUGCAACCUAAAUGGACCAUGUCGGGUCGGGUCAAGUCUUACCAAUUAUAAUUAUGGACUUAGACAUUAAUCCAACAAACACUCCCCUGGAUACGAGAGUGAAGAACUAAUAAACAAAGUUCUCCAUAAUACUACUUUCGAAAUUCAUUAAUCCAACAAAUACUCCCCUGGGCCUUGGCGACACUCCCCCUAGUUACAAGAGUGUCGGACUAACCCUGUAACCGGAAUCUCAUUGAGGGAGAACGUGACUUGAGUGUAUAGAUCUAUACGGGACUGACUAUCCCACACUUGGCUGCUAGCUACAGCCAAACCGAAAGGCUCAAGGGUGACAAAAGUCAUAAAAUGAUAUGGGCCCCGUUUAGAGCCUUGUCUAGUCUUUAGUAUGAUUAUAGAACUCGCAAUCUAGAUUAUGAAAACUUCUCAACUUACUUAUUAGUUUUAUAUACGUGUUAAAACUAAUAUACUUCACAGGGAUAACCAGGUUUUCAGAAUACAUCUUUUACAUACCAUUUCAGAUUGGAAACCAACUUUUAGGAAAAUAUGGGAUUUUCCUGGGAUAGCAACUGUUCAUAUCUAGACUUGUGUAACAAACAGAUAACUAAACUUUACAUAUAAGAAAAUAUGGGAUUUUCUUGGAUUCGUAACUUUUUCAGGAAACCGAAAGGAAACUUGUUCAUUUUCAGAAAAGAAACCGCUUAUGAACUCACCACCUUUAUGCUGAUUUUCAAACUGCUUGUAUUCUCAGGUCCAUAUUAGACAGGUACCUCACAGUCUUUUGGAGAAGACGGAGCGUGUAAAAGUCACGUCUUUACUUUUUUUCAUAUAUACAUAUGUAUAACACUUGUAACACUUUACUUUCAAACAAAUGUAAAUUUUCAGAUGUAAUGUAAUGGUUGUUUACUUUGCUUACUAUGUACAUUGGUUAUGAUACUUAACAUGAAGUUACGUCCGCCCCGGAACGUUUCUGCCCUGUGUUUCGGGGUGUGACAAACCUUCACACCACCUCUCCAGAUUAACCAACAAAACCACUCAAGGUGAGUUCAUACCCCCACAUUUUCAAGAUUUUUCAUGUUUGAGNGGGGGGGGGGGAUACAAGUAAAAAUUUGUUUAUCCCACAAGUAAUUACAUAUUAUCAUCUUUAUGUUAAUGAUAAGAUAUUAUUUUCAUAAGUUAUGGUUUAUAAUAGUUUUUGGUAUAAAUAUUUGUGAUAUACAUAUUGUUAAAACAAACAUAAUCUAUGUUAUAAAUCAUAAGAAAAUUUAUGAUUGUAAAACUACAUGGUUUUUGGAAACUUUUUCUAAAAGAUAGCUUUUCUAGCAAAAGUGAUUAGAUUAUAGCCGUUUACUAAUUUUGUAGGUUAUAACCCAAAAAUAUUAUGUUUUGAUUCCAUAUUUUUAUACUAGACAAAAAUACUCAUUCAUAUUUAUAUAAAAGAUAAUAUAAAUAGUUUAAACAAACGAGAUAAACUAUAAUUCGUAUAGUCUGGAAGUCACAAACCACACCUUUAUUUUAGAAGUUACAUAUUAUUAUUCAAAGAUAUACGACUUCAUUUACAAGAAAAAGGAGUCACAGUUCACAUAAAUCUGUUGAUGCUCUUGUGAGAAAUUCUCUUCACCGUACCUAGCUAGUCUACACCUUAAGUCCUGCAUUAUAACUAGAGUCUCAUUGAGGGAGAGAAAAAUUGUUGUGUAUAGAUCUAUACGGUAUUGACAACCCCACACCUCAGUUGUUCGCUACAGUUAGACAGGCAAGUCUGGGGUGACCAAUGUCUACCACUUCUGACUCCUAAAGAACAUCGUUCAGGCAUAUUUGUCAUAUGAAGCAUAAUUAUAAUACCUCUAUUAGGGAUUAACAAAACGACUUGGUUUACGGAGUAACUUACACUUCAAUAGUUUUAUAAAAAGAUAAAGCUACAUACUAUUUUUAGCACAACAUUACUUAUACAUUUUUGGUCUUAGGGUUUAAGACUAUGUUUACAGUUAAGAAAAUAUUGGAUUUUCUGGAAACAUACAUUAUCAUUUCUACAAGGAAAAUAUACAAAGUAAAUACAUACAUCUACAAUUUAUACUUAAGAAAAUAUUGGAUUUUCUAGAAACACACAUUAUCAUUUUUACAAGGAAAUUAUACAAAGGAAAUACACACAUCUACAGAUCAUACUUAAGAAAAUAAUGGAUUUUUUUGGAAACAUACAUUAUCAUUUUUACAAGGAAAUUAUACAAGGGAAAUACAUACAUUUAUAGUUCAUGUUAAAGAAAAUAUUGGAUUUACAAGAAGUAUACAAAUCAUUUUACACGAAAAUGUUACAAAUCCUUCUCACUCACAAACGCUUAUGAACUCAAUAGCUUAAUUGUUGAAACUUUUCAAAAUCACUUGUAUUCUCAGGAAACCAGUCGACAGGUACUCAACCCUUCUUGAGGGCUGGCGUCGUUGUGACAACCCGAAAUUUCUAACUUACAUUCAUCAUUGUAAUUAAAGUUAGCUUCGUUUUGCUAUUUUAUAAUGAAGUUUUGGGUCUAAAAGAGUGCUUAAACCUUAGUAUAUUUGAGUUAUGUGUCGGAGGAUGGAUUAGAUUGGGUGUAGCAUUAGAAAAACGGGCCAAACACAUCAAACCUGGUGUGUGCGGCCAUACACUAGAGUGUGCGGCCAGCCAGCUUCACACAGGCCAAUCACACACACCUCCAACCGCACACACCCUCCUAUAAGUACUAUCCUUUGUCAUUUUGAUCAUUUCUUACACUCUUGCAAACCUAGGACUCGAAAAUCCUCUCAAGUAUUAUCCAGAAAUGUAACAUCUUUCACCAAGAACACCAAGAACACCAUGUUUUCUGGCAGCACACGCUUCUGGCAGCACACCUGGCCCCACACCUGGCCGCACAUAUGUGCUGGCAGCACACCUGGCCGCACACACACAUAUAGUGUGUAUUUUGGCCAUACACUCCCUUGUAUACCCUUUUAACCCUUCGUACAAUCAUUUAUGGUUGUAACACUUCAAUAUAAGUGUGCACUAGUCCCUAAGGUGGUCUCAAUUAAUAAAUUAGUUGUUCAUAACACUAAUUAUAUUCAUAUAUGUGCCAAUAUAUGCUAAAUAGGAUUCACAUGUGUACUCAAGUCACCACUUGAUACAUAGCAACUAAUCCAACAUUUUCAUCAGAACCACUCACUACAGGUGAGUUCAUACCCCUUAAUCAAUGUUUUAACUAUUUUUAAAUGUUUUAUGGGGGGGAUACAAGUAGAAUAAUGCUAGUCAUUAUAUUAAUCAUAUGUGAUUAAUAAGCAAGAUUCAAAUGGUUGGCUACUCAUUAGCCGUUUUACCAAACAGUUUACUUCAAAUGUUUUUCAUAAACACAUUAUGUGUUUAAAUCUCCUUAUUACACUGUACAUUUUACUCCGUAUGUAUUAUUUCAAACUUAUUUACAAUUGUGAUUCAAACAAAUGUUUCCUUAUACUAAAGUUGUUUAAUCAAACCCAUGACUUCAAAACGUUUUAUAAAUGGACACCAAGUCGAUCUUUUCUUAGAUAAUAAUUAUGUUCAAAGGUUUUACAAAACUUAUUUUAUGCUUUUAUAUUAUAAAUUGGAUACCUCUAUAUGUAUAUUAUAAAUUGGAUACCUCGAUUUGGAUGUGGUCUGAUAGGAUAGCGGGUACUUGUCCGAAGGUCGUUUAAAUAUUAGUUAUAUAUCAUGUGUACAUAUAUAGUCAUAAAAGGUCCUUCCAGUUCAUCCAAUGCCCUUGGGUAGCAAGGGUAUACAUCCAUGUUCAUACGUGCCAGUUGGAUUACUAGUAAACUACCAUAUGGGUAGUUUAGAAAGAUACUAAAACUAUUACUAGAACAUGAUACCAUACAAUGAGUCAGUUCAUUCAUGAGUCAAUACUUGCUAGAACAUUACAACACAUUACUUUGCUUGCUAGAUAGAGAGCACGUACACUACAGCUAGAACAUUACAAUGCAUUACUAUACUUGCUAGAUAGAGAGCACGUACACUACAGCUAGAACAUUACAGUCCAUUACCAUACUAUUACAUAAAUAUGGUCACAUGAUCACAUUUACAUGAGUACGGUUACAAGAAUUACUAGUACAUUUUAUAUGUAUAGAUUCUGUUAUAUAAUCCUCAUUCUUAUCUUUAGCUUGUGAUUCAAUCACAUAAUCGACGAGAUAGAUUGGAUUUAAUAUCCUAGUACCCAAGGAUACGUUGUGGGACUGACCAUUCCUAGAAUCUCUGUUAGCUACAAAGGUAAAAGCACAUCCACGGAUGUCAACGGUUGAUACCAUUACAGGUAUACUUUUGGGGACUGACUAUUCCUAUACCCAGUUGUUAGUAACAGAGGUAAAUGUACAUCUACGGAUGACUUCAGUUAACAUUGUUAGUUGCCCAUGUUCUAAAGGGUAAUACUAAUACAGCUUGGUCUUGGUAGAAGACUACAUCCAGAACAGUUAGGUCUUGGUAGAAGACAACAUUCAGAAUAGUUAGGUCUCGGUAGAAGACUACAUUCAGAGCAAUUAGGUCUUGGUAGAAGGCUACAUUGAGAAUAGUUAAGUCUUGGUAGAAGACUCCUUUUGUUACUAAUAGGAAUCAUAGGGAUUUCUAGGGCUUUUCAAACUUUUACAGUUGUUUUACAAACAUUUUCAUACAUACAGUUCAUUUAUGUGACAACCCGAAUUUUCCAUUCUGAACAAACAAUAUCACUUCAAUAGAAGUUAUAACAGUCACAGUAAAUUUUCAGACUUUUCGGAUAAGUUUGAGUAAUUCAGGGUUUACACUUCAGGAGAUAUCAGGAGAGUGGAUGUACUAGGGUUUCAUGCAACACUGUUAUUCCAACACUCUGUCAUAUUAGAAAUCAUUUCGGGAAUAAAAAUAUUUUCUGCCAAAAAUAUCUCAAGACUAUAAAUAGAAUUCUGAACCAAAUUCAUUCAUUUUUCGCAUUUCCAACUAGAGAAAAGCCAUUUUCUCUCUCACGGAUCUUCGGGUUUUUAUCCCAAAUCGUGAGUACUUCAAUCUAGUUGUAUUGUAUAGCUUAGAUUAUGCUUAAUAACAUCAAAAUAACGACAAAGCAGCAAGAUUUGAGAGUUUACUCCCCAAAAACAUCUUGGAGAAUAAACUCCUUUUCAAAAGCCAAAUGAGGCAUAGUCCUUCCUUAAGCCAUGAAACUAGUUUGGAAUUGUACACUAACGAGUUUAGGGACAGAAAACAAACUGAAAGCAACAAGAUUUGAGAGUUUACUCCCCAAGAACAUCUUGGAGAGUAAACUCCUCUUGGAGAGUAAACUCCUUUUGGAGAGUAAACUCCAUUUUAAGGGCCAAAAGUGUCCCAAUGUCCCUCAAAGCCUUCGAAAUGAACCUUGAGACUAUCCAUGACAUGUUUAGACAUCCAAAACCAAUAGAAUCAAGGGUUGAAAUUGAGUUCACGGCCAAGGAAGUUCUUGGGCCGUGAACUCCAUUUUAGGGUGUCAAAAUGCCCAAAAUGCCACCCUUAAGCAAAGAGAGUAGCAUAGCUUUUUACCUUGAUGUGUCUAAGACCCAAAACAACCAAAAUACCAACAUCCACAAGUGUUUACGGCCACAAACACAUGACCAAAUGGUCUAUGGGCCGAAAACUCAAGUUAGGGGUGUUUUGGUGCCACAAACACUUCCUAAGGCUUAGGCAUGAAUUUAGAAUGCUUCCUUAUGACCUUUAAGACCCUCAUAAACAUAUUUGGACACCCCAAAAAGUGCCAAAAGAAGUGGUCCUUCUCAUCCUAGGCUUAAGCUAAUGUCCCUAAAUCAUUCCCUAGCUUUCAUAGUUGCACUAACCCAUGAGUAACCAUGAGUUUACGGCCGUAAACUCCCUUGGGCCGUGAACUCAUGGUAGUAAACUCAUUUUUGUGCCUUAUACGUUUCUAUGUUGAAUCACAUGUGAUUCCAACACUUGGUCAAGGUGUUUCCUAGUCCCGGAAGGUGUUAUCUUUCAUAUAGUUGUUAAAAACACUAUAUUCAUGUCAUUAUGUGUCGUUAAAUAUCAUUUAGGAAUUAUUGUGUCUCGGGACUUCAUUCGUGGAACUUCUCAUUCAUACACGUGUACCCGCUAGAACCACUCACAAUAGGUGAGUUCAUACCGCUAAUCAAUGUUUUAAAUGAUUUUAAAUGCUUUAAUGGGGGGGGGGAUACAAGUAGAAAACAGCAUGUUAUUAAAUCAUCUAUAUGUAUUUUAUAACUGUGUUUUCAUUUAACAAAUUUCACAUACUACAAAAUGUGAUGCAUGAAACGGUUUGCUAUCUUUAAAAUACUUUGUUAUCAAAUGUAUUACUUUUGAAAUGUUUAUCAAAAUGACAUCAAGUCACUUUUAUAUUUGUUCAAAACCCGUAGAUGUCUUACAAAACCAUUUUACAUUCUUGAACUAAACUAUGCAUAUACACUUAUAAUCUUAUAUAUGUAUUGUUGUUAUAGUUUACAUCUUUCAUUUAGUUUCCCACACCCUUGAGUAGUAAGAGUGUAUAAACCCACUUGAUCAACCAAUUACAUUUCAGUAAAUUAUCAUAGGGAUAAUUUGAAGGUAUCAAACAUUAUUCCUAUUACAAGGAAUCAAACAAGAGUCAGUUCAUUCAUGAGUGCACACCAGUACACUACCUGAUACAUGAACAUGUUUACAUAUACUUACCUGAUACAUGAACACACUAACAUGAAUGCCAUACAUGAACACUGUUACAUAUGUGCAUUAUCCUGUAUUCACUUACCUAGAUACUUGUACUUAGAACUACGAGGAUGAUUAAUUAGUACUUUCUGUGUAAAUUAUCUUUCCUAUCCCGGUUUAAUGGGAUAUCUCGGCGGGACUAACCAUUCCGAACCCCGCUGAUUAGCACCAGUGGUCGAUGACCAUCUACGGAGGUCUAUGGUUACUAUUUAUAUUAGGUAGAUCGAUAUCUAGGCGGGACUAACCAUUCCGAAUCCCAUCUGAUUAACACCAGUGGUCGAUGACCAUCUACGGAGGUCUAUGGUUACUAUUUAUAUUAGGUAGAUCGAUAUCUAGGCGGGACUAACCAUUCCGAAUCCCAUCUGAUUAACACCAGUGGUCGAUGACCAUCUACGGAGGUCUAUGGUUACUAUUUAGAUUAGGUAGAUCGAUAUCUAGGCGGGACUAACCAUUCCAAAUCCCAUCUGAUUAACACCAGUGGUCGAUGACCAUCUACGGAGUUCUAUGGUUACUAUUUAUAUUAGGUAGAUUGAUAGCAGGGGCUAACCCCUCCACCCACAUGCUGCUGCUAUAGACGACAAGUGGACAAUCUUUGGAUGUUCAUUAGGUUAUACCUUUCGCUUAUUGCAAUGUUGUGUUACUCCUAGUACCCAACGAUAACACUUACAUUAAUACUUUUUCUGGACAAUCUUCGGAUGUUCAUUAGGUUAUCUAUUUCGCUUAUUGCGAUGUUGUGUUAGUCCUAGUACCUAGUGACAACACUUACACGAGUAUAUUUUUCCUGUUUACUUUAUUUUGUGAUAUGUUCACAUAAACGAUGAGUUAGACUAAGUACUUUAGUACUAGUCAAUAGAAGGAAAAACUAUCAUUUUACUUACANNNNNNNNNNNNNNNNNNNNNNNNNNNNNNNNNNNNNNNNNNNNNNNNNNNNNNNNNNNNNNNNNNNNNNNNNNACAAAACAUUCGGGUCUUGGUAGAAGACUACAUUGUCAUAACAAAACAUUCGGGUCUUGGUAGAAGACUACAUUGUCAUAACAAAACAUUCGGGUCUUGGUAGAAGACUACAUCUCAAACUAAUAGAAAAUAAGGGAUUUUCUAGGGCCUUUCAUACUUACAUCAACAUUUUCAUUUAAAGGUUUACAUGACUUUUAAAAUAGCUUUUCAAAGCAAGUCAAUGACACUUAAAUACUUAUGAAUUAACCAGCUUUAAAGUUGAUACUCUCUUUCAAAAUAACUCGUAUUCUCAGGUCAUCAGUAGACAGCUACGGUGGGCAGGUCUUGAGAAUACGGAGCAGACAAGUCUCGUCUUUUAUUUUGAUUAUAUAUUUUUGGUGUUUUAUUACAAUGAAAGAACACAUGUAUUAAAACUUUACUUAUAAUUCAAUGGAUGAUGUUGUUGCUUGUUUACUAUUUUACACUGUUGUGAUACUGUACAUGACGUCCUCCACCCCUGAACGUUUCCGCCGUUCGUGGUUUUGGGGUGUGACAGAUUGGUAUCAGAGCAUUGUUUAUAGUGAAUUAAGUAUAUCAACCCAUAAAAGAUAUACUAACUAUAAACACAUUGGGAUUAAAACACUCUGUCUAAGAGUUUAUACUUUUAAAUAAUAAAACAUUUAACAAAGUAUACAUGCCUGCAUUCAUACUAAAAUCCGUGUCACAAUGACAAGAACAAAAGUAUUGAGAUUGUUGAAUAUCACAGGUAAACUCGGGGAUGUAUGGUCAAUCUUGGGAGUGGCAUAGCCUGAUCAACUAUGUUGUUCCGAGGGGUGAUUAGCACAUGCCCAAGAAUGGUUGUGAUAUGGCUACAAGUCUAAAAACUUACCAACAUUACCACAAUGAGAACAUUAUAACAGAACCUAAGUCUAAAAUACCAUAGGGGUGUUUUGUGUUACUAUAAUUACUAUAUACUUGAGAACUAAAAUGGAAUCUUCAUUCCUAAGUUGAUAAUUGCUAAGUGGAUACGCUAAAGUUAUAUGUAACUAGGAUGUUAUAGACUUAGAAUCGGUGAAAUUUUUGCUUUACCCCUAUUCCUUGUGAAUUUGGAGUUGAGGUCACUUAUUCGAAGGCUUAUCCUGUGUUGAUUACAUAUAACUGGUAUGCACUUUCCAAAUAGCGAUGGAACUAAUGAAGAUUUCCCUAAAUAAUUAUCUAGAUAGUUCGUCUAAUAAUUAUUUUCUUACCCCAAAUUCUCGCGUAGAUAACAUGGUUGGAUUCCAUCCCCACGACAACCUGUUCCUUCCGAACGCGGUUAUUGUUGGAUGGUUUGGAGAAGAACCAGAUAAUGAUCAUCCAAUGCCUCUAAAUGAUUACCAUGCUGAAUACCUUUCAUACGAUGCCAUCUCCGAACCCGAGAUUGAGGACCUACCCCAGGAAGCUCCCUUUCCAAUUCCUAACCCUCGUCCGACUUUUCAUGGCCUGACGCCUGAGUGGCUGGAAUGNUUCAUGGCCCGACGCCUGAGUGGGUGGAAUGUUUGGAAACAUGGAGCCAAGGACAAGAUCAACCCAUGCCAUUUAAUGGUGACCGAAGCUUCUAUGACCUAAGCAAUGGGGGCUCAGCAGACAGAAUCAUGCCAAUUCUGAUCCGAAGAGUUGCCCGAAACGAAAUUCAGGGCAGGACAGCUCUAAAACGUAUCGCAGAAGUUGAUACAAAUGGAGGAAUGCAUAUGCUUCGCACUAGUCGCCUUGAACAUGCUCGUGAGAGGUCUGAGAGAGACCAUGAAACCCUGCUGCAAGCAAUGGCUGAAUAACGAGCCGAAGUCAUAGAACUUCGAGUACGCCAGAGAGAGUACGAAAGGCGCCUACUUGAUGUGGAACGCCAACUGGCUGAACUGAGAGUUCACCAGAGGGAUGACCGUCGCUAGUAGUAGAUACAUUAAUUUAUAUUUCUUGUUAGAAAGGACUCGUGUUUCUGUCUAUGCCCGAUGUGCCAUUUUCUAUGAAACUAUCUUGUACCGUAAGUACUUCUGGUUAGGUCUUUACGCUGUCAGGAACUAUCUUCUCUGGAUAUGAUGUAAGACCUUGUUACAAGGUCAUUUUCCCGAACUUGUACGUCAUGAAUAUCAGAGGUAUUGACAGUUGGAAAACUUAUGUGUCAUUCUUUAUUCAAAUACUCUUAUCAUACCUUCAUUAGAGUCUAUUUGAAACAUGCUCUAAUCAAGUCAUUGGACUAUAGCAAUUUAACUCCUGAGACAUCUCCAAGUCUCUUUCAAUGGUUGGAUCACAUUAUUCACCAACCAACAAUACCUCGGCUCGAACAACAAACAUCUUGAGAACAUUGCAUGAAUUUACUUCCAAUCUUUGCUAGGACUGCAUCUUAGGGAUGUAGGUCAAACCUUCGUGAACAUAAUUCCAUUCCGUACUAGGACUGCAUCAUUGGGAUGUAGGUCGAACCUUAGGGAACAUACUUCUAUUCUUUACAUGAGCGAUCGAACUACGUUUAGGUUCAACCAUUCUUGCUCACAAACUCAUUUUCUUUCGGUGUAACAGAAUCAUGUCACCCAAGAAAAACGAUCAGCCCAUCAACCAAACACCAACUCUUCAGAUCGAUGCAGCUACCUUUCAAGCUGCAGUCUCGGCUGUCGUGUCAGCUAUUCUGACCCACCUGAACGCUAACAACGCAAGUGUUAGAGGGAUUGUUAACAAUCAUUCCAAUCCAAGUAACAAACGGAAGUCUUGGAAUAAACCUAAGGACACCAGUAACAACCUUCACAGCCACGACAUCAGCACCUCCAACUACCAUCCCUUCGGGCAUCCUAAUGGUCCCUAAAGCAGCCAGGCUUUAUGCUGGAAAUCUCCCAAAAUGCAUUAAAUGCAGUUUUCACCACCAUGGAUCUUGUAGGGAGAUGCAGUGCUCACACUGCAACAGGAAGGGGCAUACAACCCGUUACUGCAAGACUCCAACAGCUCAGCCUGCCCAAGUGCCAAACACCAGUGUGAACCAAACUUGUUACAGUUGUGGCAAGGUAGGUCAUUACAAAAGGAACUGCCCAUAGGCAGCAAAUGUUGGCACACACAGCAGUAUGCUACCGACCACCGCCGCAGGAGAGUCUACUCCGGACCCACGUUAAUGUAAUUUAGGCGUUUCGUUGUAACAGACUUAUGAACCAUCCCCAAGACUAGUGCAACCAGAGUCUUAUCUUUUGCGGGAUCCCGUCCGUUUAGGGAUGCUCGUGCUGCGUAUACUUGUCUUUUGUAGUAUAUCUUAUUCGCAGCAAUAGUCUUGUAGCAAAUCUAAAAAGUAUUGUAACUCUAUUCAUGGUUGCACAGUUGUUUUUGUCUGUAAACGUUUUAUUUUCAAAUCUAAUGUCUUUAAGUUUAUGUAUGAUUCCGACAUUAUCAUACGACUCGAUUCCAUUCGAUCCUCGCAAUGCCAGUUUGAUUAGUACAUCUCUUUCUCAGUAAACGUCUUUUAGCGAAGCCGUCAUAUCGGAACACCGGGGGUACUCGUGCAUGAAGUACCUUAUAGUUCCUUUCCUUUCCGAAGGAAUCCCCACAGUGUUACUCGUGCAGUACGUCAAGUUCAAUUCCAGGAUUCAUACAAUUGAUCUAUCACUGAAGAAUUUAUACAUGAGAGUGAUAUAUAAUCAAUGUUCUACAGGUUUAGAAUUGAUGAUUCCACUUUAACUUCUUUUCCCUCGAUGGGGUGUGAGAUUAAGGAAGAAUCAGUUAUUCAACUACCUUUUCAGUCUUAAUUAUAUACGACUCGUAUACACGAAAUUGUGUCAUUGAAUCNUGAAUCACGUAUGAAUUCUAAUAUGAACUUCAGGACGGAGACUGUCCAGGAGUACGAUUAAUUGCAUUGGCAUAGGAACAAACUUAGAACCCGGUAUGACUCUUAUAACCAGAUCGCCUUCAGUCUAAACACCUAUGGAAGAUACAAGAACAGCCCGGACAACACAAUGAACUACUCAACAAUAGAAUUAGGAGACCAUGCUUCUCACCCUUGAGAGCUCCAAUCUUAUUAUUACCAGAAGUCGACGGAGUGCAUCUUAUGUACGUCGACUACCAGAGACUUCAUUUAGAUUUCCUUUAGAAAUCGUUGUCUCUGCAUCGCUUAGACGAAUUGAUUAAGCAAACACAGGGAAAAAGUUACUUUUAGAAAUGGACCUGAGAUCCGAAUAUCACCAGUUCGAGUGAUAGGGAAGGAUGUCCUAAACCCUCCGAANGACUACCCUCCGAACUCGAUACGGACACUUCGAGUCCGUAGUGAUACCCCUCGGAUAGGACCAAUACGCCCAUAGUAUUCAUGAGCUAAAUGAGUGGAGUACGCCUUUCUUACUAGGAUCAGUUCGUCAUUUAUCCAUGAAAUGACUUACUUAUCUAUCCUCGUAGUAAGAAAGAACCCUUAGAAACAUUACCCUCGGAGAUACUUUUCGCAAUGUUCUCUGAACAUGAGGUUUGGAAUUAAGAGUCAGAUUUCCUGAGACACACUAUUAGUGAUGUGGAAAUUCUUGAGUAUUUUGUCAAAUCAUCCAAAACCGUUGGUAAUUUAUCGGCACCGUAGUCACCGACGGAAAAUUCGCCAAAUUCUAGGUCUUACAGACCUACUAUCAUAGUCCAUUCGUAACUCCCCACAAAUUUCAGAAACCCUUUCGAAUUUGACCCAACAAGGGAUGGCGCUUGACUGGGAAGUAAGCGAGAGAAAGAACCUUUGGAAUUCCAUGUGAGAGACCAAAUUCUUUAAGAAACCUCACUCUCGGAAUGGCUUAAAUACGCUUCGUAAGGCGUGGAAAGCUAAAUCCAAUAUAGUUAGGACCUCCGAGAUGCCUACCAAAAUCGGUCCUGCAUCUCACCGACUAGAUCUACUCCGCGUACUCAUUAACAUACAUGUUUACCUUCGCGUCUCAAUUUUUAAACAAUACCUUUUCGUUGGAACUCUCGUAAGCCCACUCGACAAAAUCGAUAUUUACGAGAUCCUCGCCUUCGUAUUAGAACCGUUGUGAUGCUCAACCGAGUGGUCUACCAGACGAAGCAGUGCCAUCGCCGUUAGUGAAGGUUCGUUGGGAUACCAACCGAGAACCCGAUUUUCACUUAGCAGCGCGAGAACCAAUCGAUUAAGAAGUUCACAUAACGACUCGAUCAUUCGUACAUACUUCCUUGCCUAAAUUCUAAUUUCAGGACAGAAUUCCCUUUUAACAGGGGGAUGAUGUGACAACCCAAAAUUUCCAUUCUGAACAAACAAUAUCACUUCAAUAGAAGUUAUAACAGUCACAGUAAAGUUUCAGACUUUUCGGAUAAGUUUGAGUAAUUCAGGGUUUACACUUCAGGAGACAUCAGGAGAGUGGAUGCACUUGGGUUUCGUCAACACUGUUAUUCCAACACUCUGUCAUAUUAGAAAUCAUUUCGGGAAUAAAAAUAUUUUCUGCCAAAAAUAUAUCAGGACUAUAAAUAGAAUUCUGAACCAAAUUCAUUCAUUAUUCGCAUUUCCAACUACAGAAAAGCCGUUUUCUCUCUCAUGGAUCUUCAGGUUUUUAUCCCAAAUCAUGAGUACUUCAAUCUAGUUGUAUUAUAUAGCUUAGAUUGUGCUUAAUAACAUCAAACUAACGACAAAACAGCAAGAUUUGAGAGUUUACUCCCCAAGAACAUCUUGGAGAGUAAACUCCUUUUCAAAGGCCAAAUGAGGCCUAGUCCUUCCUUAAGCCAUGAAACUAGUUUGGACUUAUACACUAACGAGUUUAGGGACAGAAAAGUAACUCAAAGCAACAAGAUUUGAGAGUUUACUCCCCAAGAACAUCUUGGAGAGUAAACUCCUCUUGGAGAGUAAACUCCUUUUGGAGAGUAAACUCCAUUUUAAGGGCCAAAAGUGUCACAAUGUCCCUCAAAGCCUUGGAAAUGAAUCUUGAGACUACCCAUGACAUGUUUAGACAUCCAAAACAAAUAGAAUCAAGGGUUGAAAGUGAGUUCACGGCCAAGGAAGUUCUUGGACCGUGAACUCCAUUUUAGGGUGUCAAAAUGCCCUAAAUUCCACCCUUAAGCCAAGAGACUAGCAUAGCCUUUUACCUUGAUGUGUCUAAGACCCAAAACAACCAAAAUACCAACACCCACAAGUUUUUAUGGCCGCAAACACAUGACCAAAUGGUCUAUGGGCCGAAAAGUCAAGUUAGGGGUUUUUUGGUGCCACAAACACUUCCUAAGGCCUAGGCAUGAAUUUAGAAUGCUUCCUUAUGACCUUUAAGACCCUCAUAAACAUAUUUGGACACGAGUUUACGGUUGUAAACUCAUUUGGGCCGUGAACACCCCAAAAGUGCCAAAAGAAGUGGUCUUUCUCAUCCUAGGCUAAAGCUAAUGUCCCUAAAUCAUUCCCUAGCUUUCAUACUUGCACUAACCCAUGAGUAACCAUGAGUUUAUGGCCGUAAACUCCCUUGGGCUGUGAACUCAUGGUAGUAAACUCAUUUGUGUGCCUUAUACCUUCCUAUGUUGAAUCACAUGUGAUUCCAACACUUGAUCAAGGUGUUUCAUAGUCCCGGAAGGUGUUAUCUUUCAUAUAGUUGUUAUAAACACUAUAUUCAUGUCAUUAUGUGUCCUUAAAUAUCAUUUAUGACUUAUUGUGUCUCGGGACUUCAUUCGUGGAACUUCUCAUCCAUACACGUGUACCCGCUAGAAUCACUCACAACAGGUGAGUUCAUACCCCUAAUCAACGUUUUAAAUAAUUUUAAAUGAUUUAAUGGGGGGAAUACAAGUAGAAAACAACAUAUUAUUAAAUCAUUUAUAUGUAUUUUAUAAUUGUGUUUUAAAUCAGCAGAUUUCACAUACUACAAAAUGUGAUGCAUGAAAUGGUUUUAAAUCUUAAAAAUACUUUGUUAUCAAAUGUAUUACUUUUGAAAUGUUUAUUAAAGUGACACCAAGUCAUUGUUAAUUAUUGUUCAAAACUCNNNNNNNNNNNNNNNNNNNNNNNNNNNNNNNNNNNNNNNNNNNNNNNNNNNNNNNNNNNNNNNNNNNNNNNNNNNNNNNNNNNNNNNNNNNNNNNNNNNNNNNNNNNNNNNNNNNNNNNNNNNNNNNNNNNNNNNNNNNNNNNNNNNNNNNNNNNNNNNNNNNNNNNNNNNNNNNNNNNNNNNNNNNNNNNNNNNNNNNNNNNNNNNNNNNNNNNNNNNNNNNNNNNNNNNNNNNNNNNUGUUACAUAGGUGCAUUAUCCUGUAUUCACUUACCUGGAUACUUGUACUUAGAACUACGAGGAUGAUUUAUUAGUACUUUCUGUGUAAAUUAUCUUUCCUAUCCCGGUUCAAUGGGAUAUCUCGGUGGGACUAACCAUUCUGAACCCCGCUGAUUAGCACCAGUGGUCGAUGACCAUCUACGGAGGUCUAUGGUUACUAUUUAUAUUAUGUAGAUCGAUAUCUAGGCGGGACUAACCAUUCCGAAUCCCAUCUGAUUAGCACCAGUGGUCGAUGACCAUCUACGGAGGUCUAUGGUUACUAUUUAUAUUAGGUAGAUCGAUAUCUAGGCGGGACUAACCAUUCCGAAUCCCAUCUGAUUAACACCAGUGGUCGAUGACCAUCUACGGAGGUCUAUGGUUACUAUUUAUAUUAGGUAGAUCGAUAUCUAGGCGGGACUAACCAUUCCGAAUCCCAUCUGAUUAACACCAGUGGUCGAUGACCAUCUAUGGAGGUCUAUGGUCACUAUUUAUAUUAGGUAGAUCGAUAUCUAGGCGGGACUAACCAUUCCGAAUCCCAUCUGAUUAAAACCAGUGGUCGAUGACCAUCUACGGAGGUCUAUGGUUACUAUUUAUUUUAGGUAGAUCGAUAGAAGGGGCUAACCCCUCCACCCACCUACUGCUGCUACAGAGGGCAAGUGGACAAUCUUCGGAUGUUCAUUAGGUUAUACCUUUCGCUUAUUGCGAUGUUGUGUUACUCCUAGUACCCAACGAUAACACUUACAUUAAUACUUUUUCUGGACAAUCUUCAGAUGUUCAUUAGGUUAUCUAUUUCGCUUAUUGCGAUGUUGUGUUAGUCUUAGUACCUAGUGCCAACACUUCCACGAGUAUAUUUUUCCUAUUUACUUUAUUUUGUGACACAUUCACCUAAACAAAGAGUUAGACUAAGUACUUUUAGUACUAGUCAAUAGAAAGGAAAAACUAUCAUUUUACUUACAAAACAUUCGGGUCUUGGUAGAAGACUACAUUAUCAUAACAAAACAUCCGGGUCUUGGUAGAAGACUACAUUAUCAUAACAAAACAUUCGGGUCUUGGUAGAAGACUACAUUAUCAUAACAAAACAUUCGGGUCUUGGUAGAAGACUACAUUGUCAUAACAAAACAUUCGGGUCUUGGUAGAAGACUACAUUGUCAUAACAAAACAUUCGGGUCUUGGUAGAAGACUACAUUAUCAUAACAAAACAUUCGGGUCUUGGUAGAAGACUACAUUGUCAUAACAAAACAUUCGGGUCUUGGUAGAAGACUACAUUGUCAUAACAAAACAUUCGGGUCUUGGUAGAAGACUACAUCUCAAACUAAUAGAAAAUAAGGGAUUUUCUAGGGCUUUUCAUACUUACAUCAACAUUUUCAUUUAAAGGUUUACAUGACUUUUAAAACAGCUUUUCAAAGCAAGUCAAUGGCACUUAAAUACUUAUGAAUUCAUCAGCUUUAAAGCUUAUACUCUCUUUCAAAAUAACUCGUAUUCUCAGGUCAUCACAGGUAUGGUGGCCAGGUCUUGAGAAGACGGAGGAAACAAGUCUCGUCUUUUAUUUUGAUUAUAUAUUUUUGGUGUUUUAUUACAAUGAAAGAACACAUGUAUUAAAACUUUACUUAUAAUGCAAUGGAUGAUGUUGUUGCUUGUUUACUACUUUUACACUGUUGUGAUACUGUACUUGACGUCCUCCACCCGUGAACAUUUCCGCCGUUCGUGGUUUUGGGGUGUGACAAUUUACAUCUUCAAUACUUACAAUUCGUAUACAUACAAAUACUUACAUCUCAAAUACAUACAAGUAUUUACAUACAAAUUAAGACACUAAAAUACUUAUGAUCUCACCAGCUUCAAAGCUGAUACUCGCUUUCAAAAUUACUUGUAUCCUCAGGUCAUCAUAGACAGGUACCGAUGCUAGGAUUAAGGAAGAUGUAGCUUGAUCAAAACUCAUCUUUCAUUUUGAUUUAUACAUUAGUGUCUAUUAGACAUAUCAGAACACACUUGUAUUAAAAUUAUAUUAUUAAUGAAAUGGAUGAUGUUGUUGCUUGUUUACUACUUUUCAUUGUUGUGAUACUGUACAUGACGUCCUCCGCCCCAGAACGUUUCCACCGUUNCGCCGUUCUUGGUUUUGGGGUGUGAUAGAUUGGUAUCAGAGCAUUGUUUAUAGUGAAUUAAGUAUAUCAACCCAUAAAAGAUAUACUAACUAUAAAUACAUAAGGGAUUAAAAAUACUCUGACCAAGAUUUUAUACUUUAAAUAAUAAAAUAUUUAAUUAAGUAUACGUGCCUGCAUUCAUGCUAAAAUUAGUGUCACUAGGACAGUACAAAAGAAUUUCGGUUGUUGGGCAACACAGAUUGACUUAGAAACAUAUAGUCAAAACUGGGAAGAUAUAGUCUGAUCACCUAUAUUAUCCGAGGGUUGACUAGCAUGUGCCUAAGUGUAGUUGUGUGGUUGCAACAAGUCUAAGAUCUUACCAACGCUACCACAAUGAGAAUAGUAGAACAUAACAUUAAACUUAAAAUACUAUAGGAGUAUUUCGUGUUACUAUAAGUACUUUAUACUUGAGAACUAAAACGGGAUCUUCAUUACUAAGUUGAUCGUUGCUAAGUGGAUACACUAAGGCUAUAUGUAAUUAGGAUGUUAUAGACUUAGAAUCUGUGAAAAUUUUACUUCACCCCUAUUAUGUGUGAAUAUGGAGUUAAGGUCACUUAUUCGAAGGCCUAUUCUGUUUCGAUUACAUAUAACUGGUAUGCACUUCACAGAUAGCGAUGUAACUGAUGAAGAUUUUCUAAAUAGUUAUCUAGAUAGUUCGUCUAAUAAUUAUUUUCUCACCCCAAUUCUCGCAUAGAUAACAUGGCUGGACUCCAUCCCCACGUCAACUAGUAUCUUCCAAACGAAGUCAUAGCUGGUUGGUUUAGAGAAGAAAUAGAGAAUGAUCAUCCUAUCCCUUUGAAUAAUCACCAUGAUGAAGACCUUUCGGACGGUGCUAAUUCCGAACCAGAGGUUGAGAACCUACCCCAAGCAGCUCCCUUCAAAUUCCUAGCCCUCGUCCGGCUUUUCAUGGCCCAACGCCUGAGUGGGUGGGAUGCUUGGAAAAAUGGAGCCAAGGACAAGAUCAGCUCAUGCCAUUUAAUGGUGACCGAAACUUUUAUGACCUAAGCAAUGGGAGGCUCAACAGACAGAAUCUUGCCAAUCUUGGUCCGCAGAGUGGCCCGAAAUAAGAUUCAAGGCAGGACAGCCCUACAUCAGAUCACGGAAGUUGUCAUCGAUGCGGGAAUGCAUACCCUCCGCACCAUUCGUCUAGAAGAUGCUUGUGAGAGAUCUGAGAGAAACCAUGAAACCCUACUUCGAGCACUGGCUGAAUCACGAGCCGAAGUCUUAGAGCUCCGAGUACGCCAAAGGGUGUACGAAAGACACCUACUUGAUGUGGAACGUCAACUGGUUGAACUGAGAGUUCACCAGAGGGAUGACCGUCGCUAGUAGUAGACACUUUACUUUAUUUUCCUUAUUAAAAGGAAUCAUUUUUCUGUCUAUGCUCGAUGUAGCAUUUCCUAUGAAAUUAACUUGUACUGUAAGUACUUUUGGUUAGGUCAUUAUGCUGUCAAGAACUAUCUUCUCUCGAUAUGAUGUAAGACCUUUACAAUGUCAUUUUCCGAACUUCUACGUCAUGAAUAUCAAAGAUUUUGAUAGUCGGCUAACUUAUGUGUCAUUCUUUAUUCAAGUACUCUUAUCAUACUUUCAUUGGAGCCUAUCUGAAACAUACUUUAGUCAGGUCAUUGCACUAUAGUAAAUUAACUCCGGAGACAUUUCCAAGUCUCUUUUAAUUGUUAGAUCAUGUUAUUCACCAACCAACGAUACCUCUGAUUGAACGAACGACGUCUUGAGACCAUUCUUGGGAUGUCGGUCAAACUUUUGAGAACAUAGACGUACUCGUUACGUGAAUAAUCUAAGUACAUCAAGGGUCAACCAUAAUCGCUCACAAAAUCCUUAUCUUUCGUGUUACAGAAUCAUGUCGUCAUCCAGAAGGAAUUAGUCUAACAGCGAAACCUCCGCUUUUCCUAUGGACGCCGCUACCUUCCAAACAGCAGUUACAGCUGCCGUGGUGGCUACCGUAACCACCGUCCUUGCGCACCGUAGCACUAUCAGCACAAUCAAUGUUGAUGAUGGAAUUGAAGUUUCCAAUCGUGGUAUCCAUCCACGAAGUUGCCAAACGGUAACAGUCACAAGCUCGCAAAGCCGAAAAGCAGAGAACAUGAAGCGAAAGCGUCAAGCCCGGAAAGAAUGCAAGAGAUCUAGAAGGCUAGCUAUGCAACAACAACAAGUGGAAACUCCUGCCAUCCCCGUACCGAGCAUGCCAUGUGAGGGAAAACUCCCGAAGUGUGAUAAGUGUAGUUUCCAUCAUCAUGGGGCUGGUCAUGAGAUGAAAUGUUGCAAUUGCCUAAGAAUAGGGCACCAUGCUCGUAGCUGUGGAGCACCAACACAACCCAUCGCUCAAGUCCCUGUCAUCGUGACCGACCCUACACACAGAAGUAGUGAUAAAGCCGACCGCUUUAGGGAGCAAUAUAAGGGAACGAUUCCGAAGUGUAGCAAGUGUGGCUAUCAUCAUAAUGGAGCCUGCCGGUUAUUGCAAUGUACCAAUUGCAACAGACUGGGACACAUUGCUCGUUUCUGUAGAGCUACCUCCACCACUGGAGCAAGCCUAGUUUGCUAUAAUUGUGGUGAGUUUGGGCACUAUAAAAUAGAUUGCCCGAAAAAGGAAGUCAACGAAAACAACCGUAUCCCCGUGACUUCCACUCGACACUUCACUUCCACCACCAAUGUUGGUGAUGUCCAUAUAUGUCAUCAAUGCGGUGAAACUGGACACCUCAAGAAGGAUUGCCCGAUAGCGAAAAACUCGGGAGCAGAUGGGAAGAUUCUCAAGAUCACAGCUGUAGGAGAACCUACUCCGGAACCGCGUUAGUGUAAUUUAGGAUUUUCGUUGUAUUAGACUUAUAAUCUAUCCCGAACUAGUGCAACUAGAGUCUUACCUUUUUGUGAGAUCCUGUCAGUAUAAGGAUGCUCGUGCUACGUAUACUUGUCUUUUGUAGUAUACCUAAUUCGCAGCAAUGGUCUUGUCGUAAGUCUAAAGUACCGUAGCUUUAUUCAUAGUUGCACGGUUAUGUUUUGUCUGUAAAACGUCUUAUGUUCAAAUCUAAUGUAUUUAAGUUUCAGUAUGAUUUCGACAUUAUCAUACAACUAGAUUCAAUUUGAUCCUCACAAAAACAGCUUCCUACGUACAUCUCUUUUGUCUAGAUUGCUUUUCUAGCAUAGCUGUCAUAUCAGAACACUGAAGUACUCAUGCCAGGAGUACCUCUUAGUUAUUUUAUUUCCGAAGAAAUCCCUAAAGUACCACUCGUGCAGUACGUCAAGUUCAAUCCAAGGAUUUAUGCGAUUGAUCUAUCACUGAGGAAUGUAUACAUAAGAGUGAUAUAUAAUCAAGGUUCUACAGGUUUAGAAUUGAUGAUUCCACUUUAACUUCUUUUUCCUUGAUGGGAUGUGAGCUUAAAGAAGAAUCAGUUAUUCGACUACCUUUUCAAUCUUAACUAUAUACGACUCGUAUACACGAGAUUGUGAUUGUGAAACCAUGUAUGAAUUCUAAUAAGAACUUCAGAACGGAGAACUGCCCAAGCCUACGAGUAAUCGCAUCGUCAUGUGAACAAACCGAGAACCCAGUAUGACUCCUGUAAACAGAUCGCCCUAUAGUCUAAACACCUUCGGAGAUACAAGAACAACCCAGACAACUUAGCAAACUACACAGAAAGAGAAUUAGAAGACUAGGUUUCUCACCCUAGAGAACCCCAGUCUUAUCCUUCCAGAGAUCAACGUAUUGCAUCGUAUGUGCCUCGGAUAUCGAGGACUCUGUCAAGAUUUUUCAUUAGAAAUCGUUAUCUCUGUCUCGCAUAGAUGAAAUGGUUGAGCAAACACAAGGAAAGAAUUACUUUCAGAAAUGGGUCUGAGAUCCGAAUAUCACCAGUUUGGGUGUGAGGUAAGGAUGUCCAGAGCACUACCUUCCGAACUCGAUACGGACACUUCGAGUCCGUAGUGAUACCCUUCGGAUAGGACCAAUACGCCUAUAGUUUUCAUGAGCUAAUGAGUAGGGUACGUCCUUCUUACUUGAAUCAGUUUGUCAUUUCUCCAUGUAAUGACUUACUUAUCAAUCCUCGUAGUGAGAAAAAAAUCCAUGGAAACAUUACCUUCGGAAGAACUUUCGGGAAGUUCUCUAAGAACAAGUUUUGAUAUUGUAGAGUCAGGUUCCUAUGACACACUAUUAGUGAUGUGGGAAAUUUUUAGUACUCAUACAAUUUGUCAAAACUGUUGAGAAUUGGUCGACAUCAGAGACGCCGACAGUCAUUCGCCAAAUCCUAGGUCUUUCAGACCUACUGUCAUAGUUCAUCCAGAAUUCCCCGCAAAUCAGAGAAACCUUUACGACUUUGACCCAGCAAUGGGUGGCCCUUGGCUGGGAAGUUAAACGAGAAAAAGAAACCUUGGAGAUUCCAAGUGAGAGACCAAGUUCUUUAGGAAAACUCACUAUUAGGAAUGGCCUAAUGCGCUUCGCUUCACGUGGAAAGCUAAAUCCAAGUUAGUCAGGACCUCCGAGAUUCUUACCAGAAUCGUUUUUGUGCCUCGCAGACUAAACCUACUCCGCGAACUCGGUAACGUACAUUUUACCCUUCGCGUCUCGAUCUUGAAACCGUACAUUUCCAUUAGGACUCUUGUAAGUCCACUCGUCGAGAUCCAUGCCUUCGUAUUAGAACCAUAGUGACCCUCGACCGAGAGGUCAAGCGGACGAAGCAACGUCGCCGCCCGUUACUAAUCGUUCGUUGGGAUACCAACCGAGGACCCUAUUUCACUUAGGAGCGCGAGAACAAAUCGAUUAGGAAGUUCCCCACCUCAUGACUCGAUCAUUCGUACUUACUUUCUUACCUAAAUUAUAAUUUCGGGACGAAAUUCCCUCUAACGGGGGGAUGAUGUGACAACCUGAAAUUUCUAACUUACAUUCAUCAUUGUAAUUAAAGUUAGCUUCGUUUUGCUAUAUUAUAAUGAAGUUUUGGGUCUAAAAGAGUGCUUAAAGAGUUCUUAAAGCUUAGUAUAUUUGAGUUACAUGUCGGAGGAUGGAUUAGAUUGGGUGUAGCAUUAGAAAAACGGGCUAAACACACCAAACCUGGUGUGUGUAGCCGCACACUAGAGUGUGCGGCCAACCAGAAGCACACAGGCCAACCACACACACCUCCAACCGCACACAGCCUCCGAUAAGUACUAUCCUUGGUCAUUUUGAUCAUUACUUACACUCUUGCAAAGCUAGGACUCGAAAAUCCUCUCAAGUAUCAUCCGGAAAGGUAACAUCUUUCACCAAGAACACCAAGAACACAAAGAACACCAUGCUUUCUGGAAGCACACGCUUCUGGCAGCACACCUGGCCGCACACAUGGCCACACACAUGUGCUGCCAGCACACCUGGCCGCACACACACAUAUAGUGUGUAUUUUGGCCAUACACUCCCUUGUAUAGCCUUUUAACCCUUCGUACAAUAAUUUAUGGUUGUAACACUUCAAUAUAAGUGUACACUAGUCCCUAAGGUGGUCUCAAUUCAUAAAUUAGUUCUUCAUAACACUAAUGAUAUUCAUAUAUGUGCCAAUAUAUGCUAAAUAGGAUUCGCGUGUGUACUCAAGUCACCACUUGAUACUUAGCAACUGAUCCAAAAUUUUCAUCAGAACCACUCACUACAGGUGAGUUCAUAUCCCUUAAUCAAUGUUUUAACUAUUUUUAAAUGUUUUAUGGGGGGGGGACACAAGUAGAAUAAUGCUAGUCAUUAUAUUAAUCACAUGUGAUUAAUAAGCAACAUUCAAAUGGUUGGCUACUCAUUAGCCGUUUUACCAAACAGUUUACUUCAAAUGUUUUUCAUAAACACUUUAUGUGUUUAAAACUCCUUAUUACACUGUACAUUUUACUCCAUAUGUUUUAUUUCAAACUUAUUUACAAUUGUGAUUCAAACAAAUGUUUCCUUAUACUAAAGUUGUUUUAUCAAACCCAUGCCUUCAAAACGUUUUAUAAAUGGACAUCAAGUCGAUCUUUUCUUAGAUAAUAAUUAUGUUCAAAGGUUUUACAAAACUGAUUUUAUGCUUUUAUAUUAUAAAUUGCAUGCCUCUAUAUGUAUAGUUAUAUAAGUAAUAUUUAAAAGACUUAGGAAGGCUAUCCACCUUGUUUCCUUUUCCUCGAUUUGGAUGUGGUCUGAUAGGAUAUCGGGUACUUGUCCGAAGGUCGUUUAAAUAUUAGUUAUAUAUCAUGUGUACAUAUAUAGUCAUAAAAGGUCCUUCUAGUUCAUCCAAUUCCCUUGGGUAGCAAGGAUAUACAUCCAUGUUCAUAAUUCCUAGUUAGAUUACUAGUAAACUACCAUAUGGGUAGUUUAGAAAGAUACUAAAACUAUUACUAGAACACGAUACCAUACAAUGAGUCAGUUCAUUCAUGAGUCAAUACUUGCUAGAACAUUACAGCACAUUACUAUGCUUGGUAGAUAGAGAGCACGUACACUAGAGCUAGAACAUUACAGUACAUUACUAUAUUUGCUAGAUAGAGAGCACGUACACUACAGUUAGAACAUUACAGUACAUUACUAUACUUGCUAGAUAGAGAGCACGUACACUACAGCUAGAACAUUACAGUACAUUACUAUACUUGCUAGAUAGAGAGGACAUACACUACAACUAGAACAUUACAGUACAUUACCAUACUAUUACAUAGAUAUGGUCACAUGAUCACAUUUACAUGAGUACACUUACAAGAAUUAUUAGUACAUUUUAUAUGUAUAGAUUCUGUUAUAUAAUCUUCAUUCUUAUCUUUACCUUGUGAUUCAAUCACAUAAUCGAUGAGAUAGAUUGGAUUUAAUAUCCUAGUACCCAAGGAUACGUUGCGGGACUGACCAUUCCUAGAAUCUCUGUUAGCUACAGAGGUAAAAGCACAUCCACGGAUGUCAACGGUUGAUCCCAUUACAGGUAUACUUUUGGGGACUGACUAUUCCUAUACCCAGCUGUUAGCAACAAAGGUAAAUGUACAUCUACGGAUGACUUUAGUUAACAUUGUUAGUUGCCCUUGUUCCAAAGGGUAAUACUAAUACAGCUUGGUCUUGGUAGAAGACUACAUCUAGAACAGUUAGGUCUUGGUAGAAGACUACAUUCAGAACAGUUAGGUCUCGGUAGAAGACUACAUUCAAAGCAGUUAGGUCUUGGUAGAAGGCUACAUUGAGAACAGUUAAGUCUUGGUAGAAGACUCCUUUUGAUACUAAAAGGAAUCAUAGGGAUUUCUAGGGCUUUUCAAACGUUUACAGUUGUUUUACAAACAUUUUCAUACAUACAGUUCAUUUACAUCUUCAAUACUUACAAUUCGUAUACAUACAAAUACUUACAAUUCAAAUACAUACAAGUAUUUACAUACAAAUUAAGACACUAAAAUACUUAUGAUCUCACUAGCUUGAAAGCUGAUACUCGUUACUUGUAUCCUCAGGUCAUCAUAGACAGGUACCGAUGCAAGGAUUAAGGAAGAUGGAGCUCGAUCAAGACUCAGCUUUCAUUUUGAUUUAUACAUUAGUGUCUAUUAGACAUAUCAGAACACACUUGUAUUAAAAUUAUAUUAUUAAUGAAAUGGAUGAUGUUGUUGCCUGUUUACUACUUUUCAUUGUUGUGAUACUGUACAUGACGUCCUCCGCUCUAGAACGUUUCCGCCGUUCAAUGGUUUUGGGGUGCGACAGUCGUCGUUUCAUGUUUUCUACUUUUCAGUUAUUUGUAUUCAACUUUUGAACAAAGAGAGUUUGUAAACAAUGUAAUACUUGAAUCUCAAUGUAUGAAUAUUUGUGUUGCUAUGUUUCAUUUAUAUUCAAUUUUUAUGAUACUUUACAUUAAGCCACUCCAUCCGCCCCUAGACAUUUCUGCCAUUCUAGUUUAGAGGUGUGGCAUUGGUCAUAGAAAAUCAUGAAAUGCUGACGUCAUGGUAGUAUCCUUUUGAUGAUCUAUCAUGUAGUUGCACGUCUGAACUAGAAUGGGAGCUUAGAUAUGUCAUGAGGUUAUGUUUCUUUAUUUGAUAUGCUCGUGGGAGAGGUGGGUUAGUAAUAAUUUGUUAGGAAGAAGAGUGUGCAUCAGAAGCCCUUUUAUGUAUGAUUUUUCUGGAUUGGGGAUUUUUUGAGUUGUUAUGAUCCGGAUGUUUUGAGUGCUCGCUUCACCGUGGGAUGGCACUAUUCCUAGUUUAGGGACAGGGAGAUGAGUAAAUUAGGAAGGUGAUCGUCAGUCUUGGAUGGUGGUUGUGGUAAACUAAUUCCCAGUUUUGAGUGGUUUUGUAAGGAUAUUGAGUAAAAUGUCGGUGGUGAUAAUGGGGUUGUUGCGAGUUGUCUAAGUUCAAAUGGUUGGGUUUGAAAUGAUGAUUUUACAUAUCUUUAUGCCCAAGAGUAAUUAUGGAAUUAUAUAUCUAGAUAGUAUAUGAUCCCUAAGGGUCACAUAAUGAACAACAUGAUACAAAUAUGUCACUUAUAAGUAUUUGAUUCUUGUUAAAUAUUUAUACUCUUGUAAUAAAUUGGAAAUUAUUUGUAUUUAGGAGAAUAGUAAACUUCAAAAACAAGUAUCAAAAAAAAAAUCAUAAGGAAAGAUUUGUAUGGUUAUGUACAUUAUAUAUAUAUAUAUAUAUAUAUANNNNNNNNNNNNNNNNNNNNNNNNNNNNNNUAUAGUUUUGGUAUAUAAAUGAAAUAUGCAUGACUAGUAAUUAUAAGAAUAAAAUGAAAGGUUCUAUUUCUCUUCCCUUUUGACCAGAAUUACGUGAGCAAGCACGUUAGACAUGCUUGUGCCAUUCUUGAUUAUUUUAUUAAGCUUAGCCAUGAUUUAGAAGUAUAUAUUGUUGGAAUGAUAAAACAUGGGUCAUUAUUAAAGGGGAUAUACAGGAAAAGGCUUUGAUGUCUUCUAUAUGAUUCCUUCUUUUAAGUUAUCAUGAAUUGCUUUCAAUGAAAAGAAAUUCUUCCAUUUUUCUCUCUUCUUCUUAAAGCUUAAGACAUGAGAAUAAUGAUUUGAUGCUUGCAUUUUUCUCUCUUUUAAGUUAAAUGUGAUAUGUGUCUUUAAAAAUUGAGUGAUUAUUACUAUUACAAGAAUAGAGACAAGCAUCUUUUCAAGUUAAAGAAUUGUUGGUGUUUCUAACUAAGGUAGGUUUCUACUCUACAUUCUUCAUCAACUUCCAACCUCCCAUGAAGAAUUAAAGUCUUCAAAGUUUGUAUUCUUUUUUCCUAUGGUUGUAUUAAUCUUUCUAAGUUUUGAAAAAAAAAUAUACUUGGUGGGUAAUAUGGUUUUAGUUUAUUCCAAUCUAAAAAUGCUUUCGUUACUAAUUAUGCCGAAUUUGUCACUAUAAUUGGACUUUUUUGAAUAAAAGCAAACAGUUGUUUAGGUUCCAAGUGGCCACAAGAACCCGUUUAUUUGUAGUGGCGAAAUAUGAGGGAUUAUAAAGAUUAUUAAGGAUAGUAAAAGGUUUGUCUUAUGCAAUUUAGCCAAUACAGAUUUUGAGAACGAAUCUAGUCCAUGUGGCUUCAGUUAACUUCUAGGGAGUUGACCCUAUUUAUUGUAGUUAACUUCUAGGUUUUUCUCUCAUUUGCAGACUCCACCUCCAUUAAAGAAAACCUAGCCCUUAUUUUGUCCAAUUUUGAGACAUUGAGCUGAGUAUGAGUUUUCGUUAUACAAAGGGACAUAGUUGUGACAUUCUAUAUGAGGCGCUUCUGUCGGUAUUGUCCUUUAGACACUACUGUCAAGGUUAUAAUGUUCUCUAUUAGGUGCAGCUACUGAUAUUAUCCUUAGAGUGUAGCUUCUAGGAUGUUUAUUGUAGAUCAACAACAUCUACAGGUUGUGGCGUAGCUGCGAGUGCUCAUCUAUAGGGUACUAGGUCCAUUGCUGCCGAUGUUCACCUAUAGGGCACUAGGUCCAUACCACUAACAUUCCUCUAUUUCAACUUUCACCCCUCUUCCUUCAUCUACCCAUUUUUUACCCAACAUAUUUUGUAGAUAUAAAAGUACGUAUACAGUUUAAAACAUUUAAAACGUGUAUAAAAGUCUCUCACCCAACAUAGACAGCAAGUAUUCAGACAAUAUGCACACAUAUCACGUAAUUGUUGGGUUUUGAGCAUUCUAACACUCCUAAGUGUACAUGCAACCCUAAAUACCUUGGAUCUAUGUUUUCUCUAUUAUACAUGCAAAUAUGAACAUCCAAGGUAUUAUCCUAAUCUAAGCUAUAAAACAAUGAAUAUAACAAGAUAGAAUGCAUACCUCUUUGAUGUAGAAUGUCUUCAUGAAGUUUGAGUGCCUAGUGCGCCAAGUGUGACACCUAAAAUGGUUCACACAAUAUCAUAUGCUUUUGGAAUAACUUUGAGAGAAAUGUAGAACACUUGAAAUCGGCUAGCCCUUCUCUAUAUUACCUAGUGCCGAUUUUGGUCAAGAAUAAGAUGCAUAUAUAGUUAGGGUUACACCAUGUAAACCCUAAUUGACAUGGCCUUUCAUUUCUAUGAUCCAUGGGUAUAAAAAACACCAUGGAGCAUCCAUGUAGCAUCAUAUGGGUUUUAGCCCAACUAGAUAAUCCAUGGAGCAUUAGCCCACUAUAUAAUUAUGGAUGAUUUAUACAAUCAACCCAUAUAUUUAAUUAGUCUUCUUUUGGUCACUUAAUUAAUCCUAGAUUAAUUCUUGAUCAAUACUAAUUAAAUAAUCUUAUUAAUAUAUUAGAACUUAUAAUAUAUUAACCAACCUUAAGUGUUAUUUCUCUCAUUAUAGUCUAUCCAAAUGCAUGAUGCCAUGCAACCCAAAUGGACUAUGUUGGGUCGGGUCAAAUCUUACCAAUUAUAGUUAUGGACUUAGCCAUUAAUCAUACAGUCUCCCACUUGGAUAAGUCUAAACUAUUAUUGCGUAUGACUUCAAGAACCGACUAGAAAUCAUAGCUCUCAAAAGCUUAUGUCGAACUCUGACCUUGUAGAUGAACUUUGACCUUUGUCAAUGACUUGUCCAUUAGAUAAGGGAUCAUAUAUUCCUCCAUUCUAGAUAUCAUAUGGAAUGAUACAUGGAUUAUAAUCAUUCUAUCUGCCCAUUUGUUGUUUCCCGAUUUCCGAUUUAUGACGACUGACUAAUUGAACAAAUCAAAUCAGUCCUGGCCCGGCCGAGCACUUCCAUUUGUCAUCAUCAAAUCAUCGAGGGGCCCACAGAUAUCGCUUUUAUCCCGAAGGUAAAAGGAAUGGAUAAACUUCGACUCAUAUGGCUUGUUCUACUACUUGUUGAAUCAUACACAAAGGCACGUUUUAUAGCACCGAGUUACCAAAUGCGUUUUCGUGCAAUCAAUGUACAACCAACUCAUAGUAACAACUCAUAUCUCUAGGUUUGAAGAAUAUAAGAUAUUAUCGUCUCAUGAUCACUCGUGAUAAAAUCCAUGAAGUGAUUCCAAUGAGCGCGGGUUGAAUCCAAUACUCAGAACUUAUGAGCACUCAUUAGUGUUGUAGCCCUUUGUCCAACACCUUAGACCUCUACAAGCCAACCCAUGACAGUCUUGAUUCAUAUCUACUUCCAACAUAUGACCGACUGUGGAUGAUUUGAAUAACUUAGUCAAUCGGAACAAUGACCUAAUUAUUAUGGAAGUCAAAACAUGCAAAUUGAAACACAAUAAUAAUCGAAUCCAAUAUGGUAUCAAAACCUAUGAACAUAAAUAAAACACCUUUUAUUUAUCACCAUAUGAUUACACAUUAUUCAUUGUAUACUGUUUCAGCUAUCAACUUUAUUCUUGAAUUUAAAACAAUAGUUGUCCCAUGCUCCAAGCAUGUACACUAUGUUUUCUAAAAACUAGUCAUGCCAUACACCAAGUAUGCAUACUAUGUUUGUCUAUGAUCUUUACUUUGUGAACUAGAUCAAUUGAACAUAACUUCAAUGAUUCUCUUUUCACACUCCCAAAUCCUUACUGCAAAUGCAAGAAUUCCAAAUUCAUGCCAUUUACUGAAAUCUGUUAGAUUCUAAACUUAUAUGCAUUGAUCCUCUUGUAAUGAUUAUGCACAAAGUCAGAAAGACUUGACAACAAUCAUUACAGAGUAUUCCAAAGGAGAUCAGCUCCUUGGAAACAUCCUUCUUGCAUUAAGUUUCCUAAUCUUAAACAGAUUGAAAAUUCUAACUUUGAAACAUUUCCAGAUUCCAUUUUGACUAUCACUUCUGAACAAGAGUUGCCUCCUUACAGAUUAUGUCAAUAUGGUCCUUCCAGAAUUAUCACUAUACUUCCAACUGUCCUUGAGCAACCAAUCUUUGGUAAACCUUAGAUUGUCCUCGACAAUUGUUUAAUCCUUUUAGUCAUAUCCAGUUCUAAACCUUUUCCCUUCUUAAUGCCCCAGGCAUUUGGAAAAUUUUAGAAAGGAUGAAUAUAGCACAUGUACUCGAUCCUAUAUCUGAAGCAUAUGGGACGCGAUUCAUGAUGUCUCACAUAAAGACUAAACCAGUCUUUUGCUAUAAUAUUUCCAUUUCAAUUUGCCAAGUUCUCAUAAUUCAGAUUAUGAAAAGGGAUGCCGUAAUCAUAAUCGAAUUUUAGAACGCAAAUAAUGGACCCAUAUACAGAAUUUCCUUAUGUUGAGCCAUUCCAACAUGAAAUUCAUAUAUAUCCUUGACUAAAUGAUUAAAACCUCACGAUCUAAGCUUAUAGAUUUGAGAUGAAGUAUAAUUUCCUCUCCCUUAAUUAUAGCAAAACAACUUUUUCCCAAUUGAAACUUUUGUUUUCUAUAAUUAACAUUGCUAACUUGCAAUACUUAUCAUAAUUAUCAUGCUCCCACUAACAUGAUGAUUAUUAGCAUAAAACUUAUGCUCCCACAAGCUUUGACAUUUACUUAGAAAUCAGCUGACUUUCUUACCAAAGUUCAAAUUUCUGAUACUAGAUUGUUUUGAUAAAACUUUAUCAAAAUCAUACACCUUCCCUUAGAUAGCACACUUGUGUGUCUAAACAAUUAUAAAGAGGGAUGCCGUAAUCAUAAUGAUUAGACCUUUUGCCACUUCUCAGAAGUCCAGGUUAGUGUGCCGGUAAACCACACACACUCAACUAAUGACUUUGAGAAUGCAAAUAUUACAAUUGCUAUCUAGCUAAAAUCUACUUAGUGAAAGUGUUUCCUCACCAUCAUUUUCAUGAAUCGGAGAGAAACCUUAUGACACUUAGAUUUAUAUGGUGUAUGAGUUCCUACCCAUAUGAAUUUGUCAAACCAUAAUCACAAGACAAAGAUAAUGACAAAUCCAAAACCAUAUGGAUUGAACUCAAUCUUAAUUUCUUGCCACCUGCCAGCUCAAGGGCCUACCAUUGCUUCCAAGUUGUUGUGCAACAAAUUGAUAACUCUAAGAACUCAUAUGCAAAGCCAACUUUAACUCGAAUGGGCAU
rnacentral:lncRNA from 1 species